rnacentral:lncRNA from 1 species
UGUGGAAGCCUCACGAUUGAGAGAGUUGCUGCCAAAACUAGAAGAUCAAAGCAUAGGCCAUGGAUAAAUCCCCCUCUCACAAAAUACUAUUUUUAUGUUAUGAUACAUCUAGGGUACGGACUUAAAUUUUGGAUUUUUUUUUUUUAAGCUAACUACUUUAAAGAUCUCGAUUAUUUCUCUCCUUAUGUAUCCUAUUUGGUUAAACUUGAAGUAGUAACAAUCUUUUUUUCCAAAGAGUAGUUUCUAUCUUUCACUUAUAAGUUAUCUUCACAAAGAGUUUUUUUUGGUCAAACAGUAAAGGGUAAUUCAUGCAGUAAGAUUGCUCUUUAUCUAGACCCGACAGUUUCUUACACGACAUGGUGACAUGACACGAAAAUGACAAGAAAAUGACGGGUUUCGGGUCAACACAAUAACUAAUCGGGUCAUUAUCGGGUGACCCGUUAAUAACGGGUAUACACGUGGGUAAUCCGUUUCGACCCGUUAAGAAAACUAAAUUAUAAUUUUAAAGUUUAAUUACUAAAAAAAUUAUUAUAAAAUACAAUAGCCAUAUUGUAUAUAUUGGUAUAUUCUAUAUUAAAUAUAUAUUUUUGUAUUAUAAUUCUAUAUAAGUUAAAAAAAUUAAGUCUUAUUCAUUUAUUUAUUUUUAUUAUGAGAAUUUCUUAUUAUCAUUAAUAGGAUCAAUUUUACUUAACAUGUUGUUGUCUAAAAUUAAAAUCAACUAGUAUAGUAUUAGUAUAGGCAAUAAGACAUCCCUACAAAUAUGAAAAAUGUGAAAGAAUAUAUAAACACUCGUGAUUCAUCAUUCCUCCAUGAGUAGACAAUGGUUACACUUACAUUAUCGUUUAGAUUUUUAAAACCCUCCAAACCGUCAUGAAUGGUGUUUUUUAUUUGAGUGUAAAAGUAAUAAAAUUAAUAAUAAUUAUUGUAGAAGUGUAAGAAAUGUAAAAUAUAUAUAUAUAUAUAUAUAUAUACAAUCACUCGUAGUGACAAGCUUUACAAUUUUCGUGAAGGCGUCAGCUUCGAAAUCCGACACUAUAAUCCAUAAACCUUAAAUAUAUAUUUAACCGUCGAUUGUCAUUUAGGCUUUAUUCUUUAUAUUGAAUUUCAUUUUAAAAUUUUCUUUUUUGAAAACAUGAUCUUAUGGGGGAUGUAGGAAGAUGAACGGUUCGGAUCUUUGAUAUCACGUCCCAAUAUUUACGGUUAAUUGAAAUAUGAGUCGAUAUCAUAUAGUUUGUAGAGACUUUAUAAACACCAAGCAAUAUUUUUACUAACGGUAAAACUCUGAACAUAAUAUCAACUAUCCGAACCAUUCAUCUUCCUGUAUCCUCUAAUAGAUCAUGUUUUCAAAAAACAAAAUCUAAAAAAAAAAACAAAAUUUGGUGAGAAAAAUGAAGCAUAAAUGUAAACAACAAUCGACGGUUAAAUUUUGAUCCAUGAUUUAUUUGAUUAUAGUGGCACAUUUCAAAGUUAAGCCCUAGUUGUAAAGCUUGUCAUUAUGAGCGUUUAUAUAUAUAUUUUUUCUAUAUUUUUCACACUUCUACAUUAAUUAAAAAAAAACUAUUAAAGACUUUACUUAAACAAUAGCCAUAGGAUAAAUGAGAAGAGAGUGCUAAUGUAGAAAGUCUCACUGAAAAUAUCAUCAAUAUAACUCUUGAAGACAAUAAAUCAAGCCAAAGUUCCAAUACCGUUUCCCAUGGUGAUUGAUGAAAAUUGAAGAGUUUGAUUGUAAGAAAAUGUGCAAGGUUCCAAACAUUGAAACAUAGCUCCCUUAAUUAUGCAAAUCUUUUGAACAUUUGAUAUUUUGUAAUGUUCUAAUGUUUUUUUUUAAAUUAUGCUCUUAUUUUGGGUAUGUAAAUAUGUAAUACUUGAAAGACAAAUGCGUUUUUAUGUUUUGAAUGUGAUAAUAUAGUAUGUAUAUACUUAUUUAGUAUUAUGUUUUUCAUUUGAUGGUUCAAAAUAUAUUUUCCUUAACAGAUUACGGGUUGGGUCAUAUUACCUGUUAAUAUUAUCGGGUAGAUUUCGGGUCGGGUCAUUUUACCCGUUUAUUUUAAGGGGUGUUACACAACACGACCCUUUAAGAUAUCGGGUAUAACAUGAAAACGACACGAACACGGGAAACACGACACGAAUGCCAGGUCUAUCUUUACCAUGAGUAAUUUUACCGAUUUGAAUAUUAUUGAAACAAACCAAUAUUUAUUGAAAUAUAAGUCAAUAGAAUUGUUGAAUCACAAAACAAAUCACACUACUUCUAAUUGAAUCUAAACCUUGCAUAAAACUCCACAUCUAUUGGUUGCACAAGUAAUUAAGUGAGGACAAUAUUGAUGCGAUUAGUGUAGUAUAAUAUCAGCAUGUAGUAUGUACUACUAAUGUAGACAUUUCCUAUUUUGACACUUUGGUUUCAACCUUCUUGCCCACGCGUGUGAAAGAUAUGUUUUUUUAAUCAUGACGUUCUUGAUGGAGUUAGAAAUUUAAAACGAUGGGAUCAUAAAAUUGAAGCUUCCAAAAAAUGAUCAUACUUUGCAUAGAAUUCCCAAUUUAUAAUUUUUUUUCCUGCUAAAAAUUCAUUCCCAAUCAAUCAAUCAAUCAAUACAAAACCCUAAAACUUCCCAAUAAGCCCAAGAUGAGAAAAAUAUUGAUAUGAUUAAGAUUUCGUGAUAUAAUCAAGUGCGAUGAAGGUAGGUUGAUCGAACUUAAACACCGAAGAAGCUUUGAAUUGAGAGAUAUGAAGGCUGGGUGGAGAAGGCAUUUGCGUAUUUGAUAAGUCUUGAGCUUGUUUGAGAAUUAGCAUGAAAUUUCAAAGAGGGUAUUUUAUAUGCUAGUGGGGUCAACAGUAGCCAAUGCCCCAGAUUGGCUCCACCAUAUACCUCUUCUUUCGGAUAGUAGAAUAUGAAGUUCUUUGGAUUCCUCCUUAUGGUCUCGUACUCCCUAAAUAAGAGUCACAAACCAUUAUGUAAUGCUUUGAAAAUUUUAAAAUGCGCUUGUUAAGUUUCUAGAAUGGAUAAUCACCAAACUUUAUACAAAGUGAAACGAAACUAAUCGAAAAUAAUAAUAAUAAAGAUUGAAAACCGAAUAAGUUGCUGUAAAUUAUAAAACAAUAUUGAAUUUUUUUUUUGUUUUGAUUUUGGUAAGGGUCUGCCCUGGUGCGAAUUUCCCAAAUAAGGCAGUAGAAACAUGAAGUGGCCGUGUGAAAUGUGAGGUUCGAUGAGUUCAAUCACAAAGAGUCCCUCCUUUUGUGUAGAGGGUCGCACGACUAAUGUGCAGGUAUCUAGACCCAAGAAUUACUCCUUAAUAGAAGCUCAACUUACUUAUAGAAUUAAUGCACUUUUUGCACUAAAACGAUACAUUGUGGAAGUUUUAUAAAUACAUUUAGGGGUACAAGUUGGAUUGAAAGUUUUUGUUUUGACUGACUUUGAUAAAAUAAUUUCCAACUUUUGGCUGAUCCUAAUUCGCCCUCUAUAUUUUGAAAAUUUCAAAAUUUUUGGCAUACUGGAAUGUAUCUUCCGAAAGUUAUAUAAAUUUCUAGAACGCAUUUGAUUUUUAAGUUUGAACUACCUGAGAUGAUUGAUUUCAUGUUGAAAUUAUAUUAUUUCAAAAGUGAAAAUCUACUACAAGUGGUCCUUUAUCACAAUAGUGGAAAAGUGUUGAGCCAUUGCAUGAUGGCGUGGGUUCGAAUCCUGUCGGUGAUUAAUCUAACUCAGAAACCUUAUCCCCCCACGAGCCACGCAGAUGCACCUCCCUCCCCCUCCUCUCUUCCCCUUCUCCUCCUCUCUUCUCCCCCAUCUUCAUCUUCUUCCCCCGACCCCCUACCUUCAACCCAGAAAAAAAAAAAAAACCCAAAUCCUAUCUACGCUGCCAUCUCCAGGUUCGUGAGGUGAAAAUGAGAGGAAAUGGGUGUGGAUUUAAGGAGUGGGAUGUGUAGAGGAGAGAAGAGGGUGGGUGCCGGGGGGGGGGGGAGGGGGUGGGGGUGAAGAGGAGAAAUGGCUCGUGGAAGGUGGGGGUGGGGUGGGAUGGGGUGGGUUUUUGGAUGGGAAGGGAGCUGAAGAGAGUGGAGGAGAGGGAGGUGGUCGGGAGGCUUGGGAGGGAGAAGAGGGGUGGGGAGAGGUUGCGGGGGUGGGUUCUGCGUUUUCUAAGUUUUUAUUUUUAUUUUUUUAUUUUUUAUUUUUUUUAUAGAAGAUUCAGGUUUUUUCUUUUUAAAUUAAAUUUUUUUUUUUGCCAUGUGGCAACCACGUCAGCGUUUAACGGAUCAAUAGAUGGAAAAUGUAACUGAGGUAUUAUUUUGAAAUAAAAUAGUAUGUGAGGUAUGAAAGUGAAAUGUUUUAAAGAUGUUGUAUAAGGUUGUAAUAGACCUCAAACCUAAUGAGGUAUUAUGUAAUUUACCCUAGUUUUUUUAGGUUUCAAAUUGUUUGUCAUAUUAAAGAUUCCAAGUUAUUAUUGAAAGAAAUUUGAGAUAUAUAGUUUAGAAAUAUUUCAAAAUUUUGAAAAUGGAUGUUGAAAUUCCAUUUUUUUGCAGAAUGAAAAUUGAAAGACAUUUCUCAUACAAACAUUUUUUAAAUGAAAUUGGUACUCAUUAAUUCCGAUCACAUCCGUCCGAAUUAGGCCUAAAUACACCAAUUGAAAAUUUUUCAUUUUUUUUUUGGUUUUUGAUCCGGUCGAGUGUACUCUAUCAAAUUUAUAAUUCCAUUUAGAAGCCUUCGUUUCAACUUGGAAACACACCAAAACACAUGCUUGAAUUUAGAGAGAGCAUUUCUAACUAGUUUUAUCAACUAAUUAAUUCGCAUUACACCAAGAUGAUACAAGAGUGUCAUCCCCAACACCUACAGUACAACCCCAUUUCCUGAUCCAGAAGAAAUGGUAGCAAAAUAAUAAUGACACAAAAAAAAUAAAAAAUAGUUCUUCAUUUCUUUAAGUUCAAAUCUCUCCCUGCACAUGCAUGCUUCAACUUAUGGGAAUGGUUCAUUCCGAAUGAAGUUAGCUGAAACCUGUACACCUGCAUUAUUACACAUUGGUUUCCCUAAGUCCCAACCAGCCAGUAGUAUUUGGAAUGAAGAAGCAAUCAUUAUUUCUCAAAUCACACCACUUGUGAAGGGUAAUCAUCUCCUUCACUAGAAACACUUGAUCGGUAAUCUCCAUCGCUUUCUCCCUCGUUCAAUUCUUCAAUCUUCUCAACGACUUCAUUCAAAUCCAGCCUUCUCUCAAUAUCCUCCUCACAACAACUCACUCCAAUCUUCAAGAGCUUUAACAGUUCUCCUCUACUGUUCCCCACUCUCCCCAUUUCUACAUCAAACACCUCACUUGUUCUCUUUUCCUUGAUCAUUCCAUUGACCCAAUUUGCUAAAUCCGCCUUACUAUCAUAACUUUCCUUGAGGUAGUUCUCUGGGAACUUUCCGGUUAACACCUCCAAGAUUAUUAUUCCGAAGCACCAUAGGUCGGUCUUCUUUGUUAUACGUCGGUGCUGGGCGUAUUCGGGUGACUUGUAUGCCAUCAUCAGGUGUUGAGCUUGCUCCAUGUUGAUCACGGGGAGUAGAGCAUAGUCGUUCAGUAGGGGCUCAAAGUUUUCGUCUAAAAGCACAUUAGAGGAUUUCAGAUGACCAUGGGGUACAACCAAGCUAGGGAGUGUGCUGUAGAGGUAUGUCAAUCCCCUUGCUAUGCCUUUGAUUAUUCUCAAACGUGUUGGCCAAUCAAGCACGGGCAUAUCUGAAUUAUGAUUGCCUGUGAAAACAAAAAUUUACCACCAUGAUGUUAUUUCACUAUGAAUUAGUAAAUCAAUUCGUACUAUAUUUUAACGAUCACACUCUCACUCAGCAACGUGGAUUCCACUGAAUCUUAAGAGAAACGUCAUGAAAAAUGUAGUCAGUAAAUAUUGUAGGUGGAACAUAAUAGUACUCAUUCAAGCAUGCACAUAAUUAAGGAGACCUAAUGUUAAGCUAACUUGUGACACAAGAAAAAAAAAAAAAACUCACCGUGAAGAUGAGAAGCCAAGCUACCAUUCUCCACAAAGUCAGAAACCAAGAGCUUCUCUUCCCUUCUAUAAUAAUAGGCCACCAGAGGCAACAAGUUUUGGUGUGUCAAUCUUCCAAGCCUUCUCAUGUGCUCAUGGAACUCCUCUCUUCCCACAUUGUUCAUCUGCUUAUACCUCUUGACCACCACAACAUCAGUCAUGAUCAAAGCCUUGUAGGAAGCCCCAAAAUUCCCGCUCCCCAAGAUUUCAGCCGAGGCUCUGAGAAGGUCAUGCAAAUCAAACCUCUGUCUGUCAUCCCUCACAAAUGACAACUUUCCCUGGUCAGCUCUCUUUGGAUGUGGGUUAGUUUCUACCGACUUAACAUCCAUUUGGCUGCUUGCAGCAGCUGCCGUAUAAUUGGAGGACUCGUCCAAUGAUUCAGUCCCGUCUAAUUCUGAUCGUUGCUUUCUCUUGUUGAGGAACAUGAAAAUCGCAGCAAUGAGGGCCAGUAGAAGUAAUAGACUCACCACAAUUAGGGCUACUUUUAGACCUGACGGCUUCUUAGACGCACCGCAUGAAUCCCCCGUGCAUUCAGGCGGUGGGGCAGGAGUUGUAGGAGGAGGAGCAGGUGGAGAAGGAGGAGGAGGAGGGGGGCUGCAUGCUCCCUGAAGAGGCGAACCACAUAGCUUUCCAUUGCCUGCAUUUUGGUUAAAAUCAGAUCCAAAUUCAUAAAUGGUUAAUGGUGAUGAUUUAAAUGAAGGAUGAUGACCCUAAUGGGAAAAUUUUGAUGAUCACAUCCGUUGCAAUUUCACUUUGAAUUCAAAAUGAAUCAGUCAUCUACAUUUCAGUUUCAAUUCAAAACUAAUCAGUCAAACAAAUAUAGCAACAAAACUAACGCAUGAACGAUAUUAAUUAAUUACCUGCAAAGUUACUUGGAUCCAUCUUUUUUAGGCUUUCUGGAACUGGACCCUCCAAAUCAUUUUGAGAUACAUUCAACCUCUUCAAAGACUUGUGCUUAAAAUCAGGUAUUUGGCCACUAAACUUGUUCCCCUCAAGACCCACAUCGAAAACCCUAGGCAAAGUAGUAAGGGAAGACGGGAUUUUGCCGGAAAACUCAUUGUUUGCAAGAUACAAUUUCCUCAACAAAUGCAUACCUUCAAAUUCAUCGGCUGGAAUCUCACCAGAGAAAUGAUUGUAGGACAAAUACAAAGACCUUAACUUUUUAAAUUUCUUAAGGUCCGGCAAUGGACCAUCCAACACGUUAUUCAUGAAGCUUAGGGUUUUCAAAUAAGGCAACUGAGCGAGAGGCUCCAAAUCCAGCUUUCCCUGUAAACCCAAGUUUUCGAGCUGCAAUCCCCGGACAUUCCCAUUAAAGCAAAGCACGCCAACCCAAUUCGCCUUGUUACCAUUACACGGGUUUUUGUUAGGAUCCCAAUUUCUAAGAGCCUCGGUGUUGUUUCCCAAUUGCAACGUUUUCUUGAACUUCAAAAGGGCAUCGGUGGUUGUAUCCAUUGGUGAACCAAACGGUAAAACCGCCAUGCAUGAUACAUAACCAACAAAGAGGGUAAGAAAAAAUGUUGGGGUAGGGUUUGGUGCGCGCAUAAGCCUAGUCAUAGCCAUAUGCGCGCCCAUUACCAUGCAAUGUUGUUGUAGUACAAACCAAAAGGGGUUCCCAGCUUAAUUAAUCAGAAAUUGAACUGGUUUCUAAUUAAAUGAACAAACUAAAUCCCCUUCCCUCCCUCCCUCCCUCCCUCUCUCUCUGGGUUUUUAGUUUUGUUAUUGGUGCUUAUUGACAAUGGGAAUUAGAGGAUGUGCAAAAAGGUGGGCGUGAAGGGACCAAAAACCAAAGAAGAGGAAGAGGUGGAGAGAAUGAUAUUGGAAGAAAUCAAGGAAACCAUGGUCUGUGAAAAUUGACAAGGUCUAAUUAGUGCGGCAUGACAGCUCAAUUGGGUUGUUUUUGUGUGUUGGAUAGAGGUUGAGUUUAAGGGAGGAGAUAUCUAAGGCCGGCCUUUCAAUUGGAAAUGUUGUUUUGCUAUAUUUUGUGAGCAAAGUUUUGUUGUCUUGCCAAUUAUAGGGUUGUGAUGACUGAUCGUGCUAAUUUCCUUAAGUUCCACAAUGAUGAAUUUCCUUAGAUAUUUCAUAACUAAUUAAAAGAGGAAAUUAACCAAAUUAAUCAGCUUAUUCGAAUGUUUUUAAAAUUUUUAGUUUUAUAGUUCGAGAUGGGAUUUAGAUGUUAAACUUAUUUUGCCAAGGACGAGAUUAAGUUGCAAUAAUCACAAUCAAGAAAGCUCGAAACCUUUUACAUAUAAAACACUGCAAACCUACUAACUUGAUGAACCUCCUUUGGAAGUUGCCAUGGUAGCUGAUUUCCAAUCUCAGUACGCUGCAAACCUUCUCCUCUCUGUCAGAUUGUUCUAAGCUCUAACCAAGAAUAGGACUUAGUUCUGAAUCGAGCACACAUCUGUGAGAGCAGAGGUUACAACAUACAUAUAUAUAUAUAUAUAUAUAAGCACAUAUAUAUCCUUCUUAUAACUUGACAAGGAUUCCCUAUUAAAAUUUAAUAGAAAACAACUUAUGUUUUCCAAUCCAUAUCAGUUUACAUGCUAUAACAGAAUCCUUCACAAACAAGGAUUUGCACACAGCUCCUCAUGGCUUUCCUAUUCCAAUCGGACUUAAUCAUUCACUGUCAAAAUAUCCAAUCUCAUGUUCAUAUUCUUACAUUAGAUUCUUAGGACCAUAUUAUAUAUGUACUAUAUCAAGCAAGGGUUAAUUUCUAGUUAGAAACCAGAAAGUAGAAGAAGUAAUGCAUAUGGUUUGUAUCUGCUAACAGGAAUAUAGUGUUCAAGCAAGAUUUGUUUUGAUAUUGGCACCUUCCUAAAUGGAGUAAAUUGGUUCUCUCAAACUUCGGAAAACCCUAGUGCUAAUGUGUUAGUUUGUUUUUACCCUUAUUGAAGCUAAGUUAUAUUUAUUCUGGGUGAUGCUAGAUCAUCAAAUUUUCAAACCAUCUUUUGUAAACUGACACAUCCCGACCUAAAUCAAGGCGUGCUGGCCGUCAUGUGAGGGAGACGUAGCCAUGUGCGCAGUGCGGAAGUGAUAAGGAUAUAAAAAUGUGAAUAAAAAAAAACCCAAUUUAACUAAUUUACACUAGAUGAAAAUAUAGGUGCUAGAGACGAGAUUUAAGUAUAAUUACACAUAACCAGAGUAUAGGUAACCUAAGUGCAGUCCAGCAGGACAAAUACUAAUUAUACAAUACCAGAAAGAUGGUCCUACAUUAAUUACAGUCUGUCAAAACCGCUGUCAACUCCUCGCAAGCCACCAACAAGCACACCUACCUAGAACCUGGAGGGGCGCAAAACAGAAAGUGUGAGUGAGCAAAAACAAAGCUUUUCAAAACCAUUUCACUUAUUAAAAGUAAUAACCCCUCGCCGUAAAACCCGUAUAAUUACCCAGAAAAUAGAAUACAUAUCUAUAUCGAAACCAUAAUUGAAAUAGCCAAAUCCACAUGUACGUCAUGCCAAAUAUCUCAACAUAAUGAAAUAAGUAAACCAGGUGAAGUAAAUCAAUGAAAAGUAAUAUGUUAGCCAGAUCCACCUAUUGUGGCCUGUACGGCUGAACCUAUAGCUCAUCAAAUAUGCCUACACAUGAGUUGGAACCACCUAGAAUGGUCUGUACGACAGGACUGGAUGUAAAUAAAUACGCUCAAGUGCUACGAUCACGUGAAGACUGUGCGAAUAGUCGCGGGUCACCUACGAGUCAGAACCACCUAUAGUGGUUCGUACGACAGGACUGUGCACCUAACUUGGAUCCAAGGUGAGCAUGCAGUUCGGGAGGUGAACAUCACGUGAAGGACUGUGCCCUGUCCAUGGGUAGGAGCAUUAACACCGGGGUGCAGGUUUAUGAAUUCUAAAUGCAUCAAAUGUAAUCAUAACCAUGCAACUCACAUCCACAAUAUAUAAACCCACCUGGAACUUACCUGAGCAUUCGCAGCACCAACAAUAAUAUAUGCAACUACUAAAUGCAUAUUCUAAGUAUAAAACAUUUGGCAUGGCAUUCAAAACAUAAAACCAUUUAAAUAAGUUUUAUGGGAAAAAUACCAAGCAUAUCUAUAUAUAUAUAUAUAUAUAUAUAUAUAUAUAUAUACUGAAAACCAAAAGCCCACUCACUGAUAUGUGCAAGGGUCGUAACCCCCGAGUCUCGCUUGACUGCACUCGUCCUCUGGAAACGUCUCAUAUAUGUGAAACAACUAUUUUAACGUUAUUUUAAGCAUAUAACCAAAACUAGGAAAUAACUUCUCAUACGUUGCUCAAUUGGGGUAUUUGAAUAUACCAUCGUGGCCCACUCAAGCCCACGAACAUCCCCAUAUUUUUAGAAAAAAUUUCUAAGUUCCCACACGUCCUCACGCAUUGGCCAAGGCAUGGCCACACGCGUCGCCCACGCGCAAGCGCGUGCCUGGCACACUGACGGAUUCCUUAACGACGUUAGGGAAUAUUUCGUUAAAUAAUAGCAUAUUCCAUCAAAAUUGACCGAAUAUUCAUCUUCUCCCUCGGUUCGCCGGAGUCCCGCGCCGACCACUGCUGCACUCGUCGGUUUCUAGAAAAACUUUAAACCUUAAUAUCUCACUCAUUUCUCAACCAAUUUCCAUGAAAUUUGUACCAAAAUGAAGCUCUGGACAAGGAGAACAAAGUCUUACCACUUUUACGUCCUAAACCCAACAGAAACUGGUCGAAAAAAUUUCUUGAAAAACUGGCUAAGUCUGCAACUCAACGAACUCGAGUGUCUCGACGUCCAAAACCUUCCAAAACUUCUCUAACAACUUCGUACAUUUGUUUUAAGUCCCCCAGAACUUUAAAACUCCGAGAAACACCCAUGAUCACGUCGGAGCUCACUGGUUCUCGAGUUCCCAAGAUUUUUCCUCCAAAUUAAGGGUAUAGUUCGACUCCUGAGCUUCCAAGGAACCCGGAAGUAACCUCCACUAGCUCGAUCUACGACGAUUUGAAGGGAUUUGUGGCUGGUCUUAGGUGUACAAAGAGAGAGAGUUCGAGAACGAGAGGCAGUACAUGAAGGUGAACAUAUGUGAAGGUGUGUGUGUGUGUCUUGAUCCGGAUUGAGCACCCAUAUACAAUUCUUAAGCUCUAAUUGGGCCACCAAUUAUAGGCUAAAAAUUAUCCCAAACAACCCCAAAUUUCAAUUGGGUCCAAAGAAGUCGGAAAUGAGAUAAUUGGUCCAUUUCCUUAGUCCAUUUAUACAUUCACAACCUAACGCUCAAGGGUAAAAUCGACAUUUCCAUGCUAUCGGGGAUAAAAUACAUUAUAAUUCGGGAUGAGUCGUCACAAAACUACAUGAUGUGGUGAUUGAUGGUUGGGCUUCUUUUUAAUGAUUUUAAAAAAAAAAAGUCCAACCAUCAAAUGACACAUCAUAUGGUUUACAAAAAAAAAAAAAAAAGUCUAUAAAUUUGAUAUUCUUAGUAUUUGAUACCAUAAAGUCAAUUGAAGAAAGUUGAAGUUUCACCAUAAAACCAAUUUGGAAUAUGGAAGUACCCCAACUACUUAUAAGCACAUGCAAUGUCUCUCCUCCUAUCAAUGUGAGAUCAUUAAUUCUCAACACACCUCCUCAUGUGUGGUAAAUUUCAAGCCUAACACGUGGACAACACAAAUGAGGUGACAUGGAGCAUAUGUGGCCGUUGGGUUUCACACAUGAGAUAACAUGGCUUUGGUACCAUGAAGGAAGUUGAGGUUCCACCAUAAAACCAAUUGGCAAUAUAGGGAAUAGUCCAACCUUUUAUAAACUCUUGCAAGGUUUCUUAUUUCACCAGCGUGAGACUGUUUUAUUUUCACAUCCUAACACAUUAUCCCAAGUGCAACCUAACCCCAAUAAUAUUUCCAAGGGAACCGAUGCGACGAUCGGUUAAAGGCCUAUUUGGAAGUGAUUUGAAAGCAGGGAUGGAGCUAGAGACUUUUUCAAAUGGGAGCAUCCUAAAACAACAAGGUAAAAUUAAAACUGCAAUGCAUUUUAUAUACUAAAUGAAACACUUAUUUGUUAAUUCAUAAUAUUUUACGUGUAAUACAUUACAAUUUUCCUCCAUUUGCUUAAUGUUUAAGAACAACCCGAUUUUAUUAAAUCUCUCUUUCCCUUUGUAUAUAUUUCAAUUUUUACAAAGAAUUCAUCACAAUACAUAUACCUUUUUUUUUUUUUUUUUUUGAGUUACAUUUUGAUAGUUACCAAUUAAUGUAUAGCUUAACAGAGAGAUGCAUUAAACAAAUAAUUUAUCAAGAGAAAUUAAAUGAUAUCCACACAUCCCUUUAAUCCUUUUAUACACACUUGUUUAUUUUUGUUCAUUAAAUAAGUACUCAACCUAUUGAAAAUGUAAUAUAUGUUAAGCCCCAGUUAAUUUAUUCUAUUAAAUAUACAUGUGGCAACAAUCGAUCCCAAUCUUUAGCUUACUUGGACACCAUAAUAAUAAUAAUAAUAAUAAUAACAUUAAAAAAGACAUGAAGAUGAAAAUGAAUACACAAAUUCACAAGUAAAAUGGAAAAAUGAAGAUUGGGAAAUAUCAAGCCCACACCACCUCCAAACUCAACCCACAACCACUAAAACCCCCAACCUUUAUAUUCAAAAUCCACCAACUAGAUGUAUCAUGAUCAACGUUAAUAUUAGUUGCCUCAAAAUCUAAAUUUUAAAUACGACACGCCCCGACCUCGAUGUCCUCGGGACAUCAGGAUGGUCACGUGCUGGCCGACACUCGAAGGGUGACGAAAGCCAUUUAAUUUAAGUAAAAGCUAAGAAAUAUGCUAAAACGGGCAAUAGGAACUAAUAAUACCAAACUAACGUCCAACUGCUAAUUAAUAAAAUUAUGGUCAUAUACAUAAGUUCAGAGCAUAAGUCUAUUACAGAGUAUAAGCGGAACUUAAGACAGAGAAGUGCUAUAUUACAAUAGGUGCAGAAGCAAAGAAUAUAUAGCACUGAAUCACUGGUAGGGAAAUGCCUCGUAGCUCAUGUCAUAAUCCUCGUUCAUAGGUCCUGAAGGGGGCGCAAAACAAACGUGAGUGGACUAAUUUGAUAUAUAUAUAUAUAUAUAUAUAUAUAUAUAUAUAUAACAGUUAUCAACAUACUAACCCCUAAGUUUAUGAAAAUACAUAUAUAAUGAAAAACAUAGGUUUUCCGAAACCUAGCAUGUUGUGCAAUGUUUCAAAAUAUAACUUGUAUAUAUAAUAAUCACUGGUGAGUGUCUGAUAACCCCCAGGCCCUAUGCCGGCUCCCCGUCUCUGAGCAGACAGUCAGAGGAAAAUACAUUUCAGGCCCCAUGCCAACUCCCCGUCCCUAUGCUAAAUAGCCAAAGGAAACACACUCUAGGCCCUAUGCCAACACCAAACCAUCGCCCGGGACGGACUGGAAUCUAUCCCUACGUCUCGUAGCGAAAAGGACCACUAAGUAAGUACAAAACCAUUAACAUAUUUAUAUUGAAAAACAACUUCAUAGUAUAAAGUCAUCCAUCAUCUAUACUAUAAAGAGGUGUUCUAAACAUGUUCUAAGUAUCAUAUCAUCAUCCAUCAGAUAUUUUAUAAGAACAUGGGUUAUAUGAAAAAUAGUAGUAAUUUAAUCUAGCCUCAGUAAACAUGUUAUAUUACAAAACAUUUCAUAAAACAUAACAUUAAAUCAUGCUUUUCAUGUAUGUAUUUCUACUAUUAAAACAUUCUUUUGAAGGGGUCCACUCAUCAUACAUCGAUGGUGCAAAGCUAUACCAAAAAGGAAUAACAGAAUCACCAUUAAUAAUUGCACCUAUUCACAUGAAGGAGUACCUUUAGUCAAACUCUAAUCAAACAAUUGAAUUUAGGAAAACGAAAUUUAAAAACGGGUCCAAAACGUCGAAAUUAGCCCAAGAGAGGUCCCAGACGAAACCCUGAAAAGUCAACUCCAAAAGUCAACGUUGACUGUUGAUCGGUCAAAGUCAAAGUCAAAGUCAACGGUCAAUUGGGUCAAACGGUCAAAGGUCAGACUGGCUUGGAUUUGGGUUGGGCCGAUUAGGCCCUAAGGGUUUUGGGUCUAAAGGGUUAAUAGGUGGGAUAAGUUAUAAGGGAAAUGGGUUAGGAGCUCUCUAGGCUCAGGCCCAGACCUACACGGCCCGAGGGCCUCAUUAUAAAGAGUUUAGGGGGAUUGGGCUUAAGCCCCUUAAAAGAAAAUGGACCAAAGGGCCCUAUUUAAAUAAAACAAAAGCUAAAUAGGUUUUAGGUUGGGUCAACGGGCCACAGGCCCUAAACAAAACGGUCCAAAGGCCUUUUGGGUUAUAAAGAAAUAAAACAAAAACAAAAUAAAAUAAAAAGGAAAUGGGUUAGGGUUUUGGGUUGAGCUCACCACGAGCCUAAAGCCCGAGUGCCUUAGCAGCUUAAAAGGCCUGGUGCACCGAAGAAGAACGCUGGAGCUUUCCCAGCUCCGACCGACUGCAAACAACAACCCUAGACUCCGAUCUAGGUGCCAAAAUGAAACACAAGACGAGAGGAACAACUUUAUACCUUCCUUUUGCCGUAGAAUAACCGGAGAUGACCGAAAAUUCCCUCAACACCCACGGCCUUGCAGGAGCUGGGUGUGCCUUCCCCUGACUCGAUUUCGUUCUAAAACUUCGACAACAACGCAAUAAACCCAUUCAAAACACAUUCACGUAUGAUUCUAGGACGAAAUAGGAAGAACUCGAAGCUUACCUAACCGGAGAAAUAGGAAAUCUCGCCGGAGAUCGUUUUUUGGGUUUUGUCUUUGUACCACAGGAAAUAAAGAGAGCUGAUGAAGGAUUGAUGAUGAUGGUGUCUUCCUCGCAGGUGAUGCAGCUGGAUGUGUGUGUGUGUGUGUGUUCACGGUGCAAGAGAGGGAGAGAAAGAUGAGGGUUUCGAGAGGGAGAGAGAAGAGAGAAAAAGAAGAAGAUGAAGUCACGGGAGGGGUAGGGGACAGAGAGAGAAAUGUGAGAUUGUUAAGGUGUUGCCACGUGGCAGCUUAAGAAUAAAGAGAAUCAAAGUUUUAGAUCCUGAUAGGGUGAUAGAAUUAGGACUAAAUUGAUAGAUUAAUAACAGGUUUGGGGAUAAUUACCUAAUUAUAUUAUCUAUAAAUGAAGGUGGGUGUAACAAAAUAUGUAUUAUAUAAUAUGGAACCCAAUGAUCAAACGAGUAUUGAAUUGAAUAAAAUAUGGACUAAAAUUGAAAUUACAUAAAGAUGGCAAUCUCCUAACAAAGAAGAGGAUUAAGAAUUCAGAUAAGAUUUCAAAGAGCUUGUUUUUGUUCUUGUGAUUUUUUCAUCGCCAGAAUCCAGAUAAGAUUCCAAAGAGCGUGUUUCUACUCUUGUGAUUUUUUCAUCACCAAUGCUCAUCUUGUAAAACUUCCAGUUCUUCUUUAUGGGCAGUAAAGAUGGUGCUGAGAGCAUCAUGUUAGUCCAUAUCAUUUCAGCAACCUCCAUGACCUUCUUCUUGAUGUUAGCGACUUAAGUUUUAGGGUGGAGUUAAGGGUUGUGCGUUGGGUUUGGAGGUGAUAGCCUAAUAGGGGUAAUGGGGAUCAAUAGUUGGUGGAGGCCAAGCUUCCAAGACAUUCUAUUGAUUUUGGAAACUAAAUAAAACCUAGUUAAUUUUACAUAAAUUUAAUUGGGGCUUAACGAAUGUGACAUUUUCAAUAGGUUGGGUAUUUAUUUGGAAUAUUUAAAAAGGUUGAGACAAAUUUGAAAUGACAAUAAAAGUUUGAGAGGUUUUAGGUACUUAAUCCUCGAUUUCUUUUUAUUUAUUCAUCAAAUGGCUAGCUAGAAAUAUGUAGGGAGAGAAGAUGAUUGUGUGAAAAUCAUUUUCCUUUAUCUAUACAUAUAAAGCCAGAAGGCAAAAACAAAAAUGAUAGCAUAAAUCAAUUAGAAUGAAAAACUCCAAAUUAGGAUAAAAUUAGGUCGAUAAUGCUUAAUUUCUAUUGCAUAUGGCAUAAGAUAAUGGUGGGGUGGUGUUAGCAAAAUGCAAGUGAAAAAUGUAUUUCAUUAGAGUGAGUUAUUAUAUAUGUGAGGUUUUUAUUUGGAAAUUGAUAUUACAUGUACCCUUUUGUGGCAAACCAUGAGAAUGAGGGUAUCCGCCUUGGCAAACGAGUUGUGUUUGCCGUGUUUGGAUCAUGUUUGUUGUGUUCGUGUAACACCUAUUAUCUUAACGGAUCAUCUUGUGUCACACCCACUAUUUUAAAGGGUAAAAUGACUCGACCUGUUAAGAAAAAUAUUUUUUUUCUUUCUAAAUUUGCAAAUGCCAGAUCGCCACAUAAAUAUUACUUCAAAACACAAAAACGCAAUUGUCGUUAAGUGCUAUAUAUAUCUACAUACUCCAUAAUAAGAACCUAAUAAAAAAGUAUCAAUACACUACUAGUAUACUACAAAAUAUAAAAUAUGCAAGGAUAUGCAAAAUGAAGGAGUUUUUCUUUUCAAGGUUGUGAAACCUUUCUAAGAAGUUAAAACCUUCACAAUGAAACUCAAAGCUUGCAUGUCGUUCUUUUUACAAAAUCCUUCUAGUUUCAUCGAUCAUCAUGGAGAAAUUGUAUUGGAACUUUGGCUUGAUCUAUUGUCUUCAAGAGUUAUAUUGAUGAUGUUUUCGGUAAGGCUUUCCACAUCAAAACUCUCUUCCACAUAAACCAAGUAUAGAAAAUCAAACAUUAUAAACCAUUCAAAUUAUGAGAAGUUUACCAAAUAUAAUUAUAAAAAGAAAUAAAACAAUAAUACUAUACCAUAUAAAAAUAUAUUACCUCAUUUUCCAAAUAGCUAAUCUCGUUGCACAACAAAGCUUGAAAUGUUUCUGACAACAAUAAACUACGAUACUAAUCUAGUCUACCCCCAAUACUAAAUGCAAAUUCUGACGCAACAGUUGAAUGAGAAUUGUUAACACAUCUCGUGCUAACUGAGAAAGUAUCAGAUAAUGAAAACACUCGAUUUGUCACUAAGAAAGAACAUCUAUGUCUAAUUUUCUAACUAUUCUUUUAUCCUCCAAAUACUUCUGCAAUUCACUUUUUUCAAUCAAACUUGAACUAUUGUAAUUAUUAUCAAAAUUCUACAUUAUAAAAAAUAAAAAGAAAACAUAAUAAGAAUCAUGCAUCAUGCCAAUUUCAAAUGUAAUAUCAACACUUUUUACAAUACUAGUUAUAUGUUUUUACAAUACUAGUUAUAUGUAUAAAGUAAGACAAAAACAAACUUAGGUUACCUGAAAGAGAACAUCUCCACCUUUUGUUUGAUGAUUAGGCACCAAAUGCACUGGAGUGUUUGAAUUAUCAAGACAAGAAAUAUUAAAUUAAUAUUUUUAGAGGUAUAAAAUCCUACUACUGUUAAGUAUAGUAUUAUGCUUCGUGGUAUAAAAUUAUUAAUUUAAUAUAUUUUUUUUGUGUAACGGGUUAUUCACGUGUAUACAUGAACUGGCCUAUUAUUUUAACAAGUGCUUAUUAGAUUACCAGAUUCGUUAUUAUGUCAACCUGAAAACUUGUUAAUUUCGUGUCAUUUCAUGUCGUGUUAACAGAUCGUAUAAAAAAUUGUAAGCCCGUGUGGUGGCUCCGUCCCUGUUUGAGAGAACUAAAAUCACACAUGAAAGGUGUUUUUCAAUAAAAUCACUUUCUUUUUUUUUGUUUCUUUUCUUUUUUUGUCGAAACAAUAAAAUCACUUUCAAACCUUAGAUAUUUUCUAGGUUAAAGUCAAGACCCCGAGUUUUAGAAGUGACUAUCAAAUUGAUAACCAUUGACAAAAAUAGCUCCCACGAAAAAGGGGUUGGCAGAAAACCUGGGGGCUAUUGCGGUCAAGUUUGAAGUUGAAAAGCCAAAUGGCCUAAAAACACGAUAGCAAUAAUAUUGGAAAAUAUGCAGCAAGUCAUGCCUAACUUUCCGGCUGAGCCAUUCGUCAGGGAAGUAGCAGCAUCCUUAUAGAAGGCUCACACUACAUUGGAAAUUUAGAAUACAAACCAACAUUUGUUUAAUCACAUUCAAGUCUCUCUGUUGAAAGAGUGGCAUGAAAUAAUAAACGUGCUUCUUCAAGUCAUCACCCUCUUCAUUGUCAAUUACUCAAACUGAUCUUCAUAAGUUUGAUUAAUUUUUGCUCAAGUAUCACCUGAAUUUGUAAGCAUAUACGAUAAUACCACAACUUUCAUUUUUUAUUUUUUUACCAUCUGGACACUCUUAACUUUUUUUUUUUUUGAAAUCUAUCACCUAAGUUAUUUUCCAUCCAUUUUACCAUUAAAACAUGCCACAUAUAGAGAUAUUUUCGCCAAUUAACUCAUGGGCGGGCUAGAAUCAAAUUUACUCCCUAAUGAUGUCUAGGUCAAUAUGGUGCCAAAAUUGGUGGUUUGUACAACCCUAGUCCAUCAAUUCCCUCUAUAAGAGUUUGAAAAAUUAAUAUAUAUAUAUAAAUUAAGGUGAACCACGCAUCCACUUGUUGACCUAGAAAACAACUCUUGAAAGCUACUACAAAUGAAAGACAACAUUUUUGCAUAAUUUUCACUUCUAUUCUUCAACAACCCUCGCAAAAUCAAACUUGAAACCAACUUCUCCCUUUCUCUUCAUGAUCUGACUCCAACAACGCUACCAAAAAAAAUGUCUUUUGCCUUCAUACAAAUUGAUUCCAGCAAGCCUUAGGAAGUGAAUUGACAAAAAUAUCCCUCCACAUGAGAGGCACGUGACAUGUUUUAAUGGAAAAUUGGAUGGAAAAUAAUGUAGGUGAUAAAUUCCUACAGUUAAGAGAGUCCAUGUGGUAAAAAUAAAAAAUAAAAAGUUCAGUUGGAAUUGACGCACAUGCUUGCAAGUUUAGGUGAUACUUGUGCAAAAUCCCCUUAAUUUUUUCUUUAACUAAUUACCUAAUUUUUGGCACUUAAAAGUCCAAUUUUUGCUUGAAGCCGCCUUUGUAACGCACAAUUGGUCUUAGUCUAGAACCCAACUAAUUAAUUAUGAUUCAUGUUUGUACGCUCCUAUCAGAUUUCCUUAAUACUCUAUUUUACCGUUCUUAUUUAUUAGUUAUAAAAAUAAAAAAAAUAAAAAAAUAACUGUAAUAUUCAUUAAGGGAAGAAAAAAAUGUUCAACAUUAAGCCCAAAAUUUAAAAUAAAUUUGCAGCAAUCUUUCUAGGAAAUAAAAUUGAUAACUUUUUUAGUUAAAAUCUUCUAGAUGGACUAUAUGUGUGUUAUCUUAAGCAGACUGAGAUUGGAAGUAAAUUUAAAAAAUGUAAGAAGAACAUGAAUUAAUAAUAAAAUAUAACUAUUUGGACACAUAAAAUUAACACGGUUGUUGGCAUGUACACUCUUUAAUAGAGCCGGAAUUCACUUGUAUUGGAGCAUAUGUCAGCAAGUGUUAAUUCUGUGUUUGAAUAUCAUUGUCACAACAUUUAUAAGGGAAGUGUUAUUGGCACUCCAAAAAUCUCAUUCUACACUCCUCACAAGUGUAUUUUUCUUUCCUAAUAUAGAAAGUUUAGAGUGUAGAAUGAGAUUUUUGGAAUACUAAUAACAAUUCCCAUUUAUAAUAUGAUAAUAAAAUCAUAAUCGUAAUUAAUUCAAAGAGGCCAGUUUAGAUGCUAGUGGUCAACUUUAUAUUUAAUUCUUCCUACUCUCCUUUUCCAAGAAGAAAAGCAAACAAAUUCAACAGUAUUAGAACUUUCAAACUUUAUUAUGUAUAUUAGUCAAUAUAUAUGAUGCUGUUGGCUGUGAUGUAGAGUUUAGAAUACAUCAUUUUUCUCUCUCUGAAAACAGUUAUCUAGCCAUGCUGCCCAGAAAUGCUAUGUCUUUGAAGCUGUUAAUGGCGUUUAUGUAUGUAAGCGCAAUCGUUAAUCAUGUAGAAGGCUCGUACUCAGGUACAAACACUGGUACUUACCAUGACCAAAUGAGGCGCAUGGCUUUGAUGAAGGCAUCACAUACCAUCCGCAAUAAGGACUCAACGCCCCAAAGCUAUUCAACACCAACUCUAUAUGUAUGUUUACAUAUAUAUUUUGUUCUUUUAUUUUUGGUUUUAAUUAGUUUUAGUUUUUUUCCAAAUGAUCGAUGUAUGAUUUGUUCAUAUAUAUUGAUUCAGGCGUCCGCAGAAUCACGUGUACAUCACGUGACUGAGUAUGGUGCUGACCCAACCGGAAGAUCAGACAGCACAGAGGCACUACAGCAAGCUAUUUUACAUGCCUUUGGAUCUCCUCUUGAUGGUCACUUGAUCAAGGGUGUUGCUGACCUUGGAGGCACUCAAGUUCACCUUGAUGGAGGGACAUACAAGAUCAGCCGUCCGCUGCUCUUACCAGAUACCGGUGGUGGAAACUUUAUGGUACACCUCCUAACAUUUUUCUUCAACUAGAAUAACCUGAUGGUCGGAAUGCAUUAUGCUUAGAUGGGUUAGAGCCGUUGGUCAAGGCACACUAUUCGUUACCUUGCAACCAAAUUUGAAUAUCAUUCUGUCAUAUUUGAGUUUCGACUCCGUCAAAGCACGAUAUUGUCCGAUUUGGGCUUACAAUUCCCUCACAGUUUUGUUUAUGGGAACUCAUACGAGAACUUCUCAGCGGAUCACCCAUCCUAGGAAUGCUCUCGUCCGAACUCGUUUAACUUCGGAGUUCCGAUGGAAUCCGAAGCCAGUAAGGUUCCAAAAUGUCUCGUGCUAUAUGGAGGUGAGCAUGUACAUAUAAGGCAUAGAUGAUCCACUCUCCUGGGUGAUGUUAGAUCUAACAAUCUACCCCCCUUAGGGGCCCGACGUCCUCAUCGGCACACUUCUGACUAUAGAUUAGCUCUUAUACCAAAUUGUCACAUCCCAACCCGGGCUCCAUCACAUCCUAGGCUUGACUCCGCCGUAGCAUGAUAUUGUCCCAUUUGGGCUUACCAUUCCCUCACAGUUUUGUUUCUGGGAACUCAUACGAGAACUUCUCAGUGGGUCACCCAUCCUAGGAAUGCUCUCGCUCAAACUCGCUUAACUUCGGAGUUCCGAUGGAAUCUGGAGCCAGUGAGUUCCCAAAAUACCUCGUGCUAUAUAGAGGUGAGCAUGCACAUAUAAGGUAUAGAUGAUCCACUCCUCUGUGCGAUGUGGGAUCUAACACAUUCUCUGUAGAUUUAGUAGUUAUAGAAUAUCUUAUUACAAUUAUUCUAAAGUUUAGUAGUACAAUCACAAAGAAUAAUAAGAAUAGAGUAUAGAGAGAUUGUAUUCACACCCCAAAUUACUUCUCCCACACCCUUUUAAUUUUUUAAUAUUUUUUACACACCACUAACACUUGAUAGAAAAAUAUUAAAAAAUUAAAAGGGUGUGGAAUAAGUAAUUAAUUUGGGAUGUGUGAAUAUAAUCUCCGUAGAGUAUAUACUUGAAAUUCAAUGUGAUUCUUUAUAAGAUGAUCUGUCUUAAGACUUUUUAUAUUAGCAUCUCACAAAAUAUUGAAUGCACCUCACAAUGAAAUUUAAUAUUAAAUAACUUAUUUAUCCUUUUAUGCAAUAACAAUUUUAACCUUAUUAGAUUAAAAAAAAAAUCUAUAUACAUUACAAAUCACUUUUAACGUAUUAUUUAUCUUUUUCAAUUAUCAAAACACAUCUGACCCUCCAUUACUAAACAAAACCCUAACCAAUGAAAUUACAAACAUGUUGAUUGAGAAAAAUUGUUUUUGACAAAUAAAACACGAAAUCGAUGUUUAGGAAGCUUCACAUGAGAUAAAACUUCAUAAUAUAGAAUAAACCUCUCUUAAUAAUAUAGAACAUUUUAUAUUUCAUUUGUAAGUUUUUUUUUUCAUAGGCUCAGGGUUUGUUACGGUGUAACAGAUUCAUGGUGGAUCUCUUCAUGCAUCCGAUGAUUUCCCAACCGAUCGCCAUCUGAUCGAGCUACGGUCACCGACGACUUCUCUUGUGUACGAAGACAUCACACUCAAGGAUCUCAUGAUAAACUCAAAUUUCAGAGGUGGUGGAAUUUCGAUUAUAAAUUCACUAAGGACUACCAUUGACAAUUGUUACAUUUCACAUUUCACAAGUGAUGGUAUAUUAAUUCACGGUGGCCAUGAAACCUAUGUUAGAAACUCAUUUAUUGGUCAGCACAUCAAUAUCGGAGGCGAUCACCGUGAAAAGGAUUUUUCCGGCAUCGGAAUUAACAUCAUAGGAAAUGAUAACGCAAUCACCGAUGUGGUUAUUUUCUCAGCAUCAAUUGGUAUAAUGGUACAAGGGCAAGCCAACGUGUUCACCGGAGUACAUUGUUACAACAAGGCCACUGGAUGGGGUGGGACUGGAAUUUACAUUCGGGCACCAGGGUUGACCCAAACCCGAAUCCUUAAUUCCUAUUUUGAUUUCACGGGUAUCGUGGCUGAGGACCCGGUCGAACUCCAUAUAUCCGGGUCGUUCUUCCUUGGCAAUGCCUUUAUUUCAAUCAAAUCAUUGAAGGGUGUAGCAUGUGGCAUCACCAUCGUUGAUAAUAUGUUUUCAGGUGAUUAUACCGGUGUCCCAAUAGUCCAUCUAGAUCAAUCCAACGGUCGAUAUUUUACUACUAUUGAUCAAAUUAUGGUUGAUCGAAAUGUGGUGCGGGGUAUGGUUCACAAAUCAACGGUUGCCAAGGGGUCAGUUUGGAGUAAUGGGACUAGAUGGACCGUUGAUUUCUCACACGUUCUCCUUUUCCCCAAUCUCAUACAAAAUGUGCAGUACACAUUGCAGGCAAGUGAGUCAUUUCCAAAACAUGUCCUACGAAAUGUGUCGAGGAAUUGUGUCAUAGUAGAAUCAGACGUACCCGUUUCUGCCACGUUGCAUGUGUUAGUGGAUCAGAGCAUGAUGGGUUACGUAUAAUUUUAAGUGUGAAUACAAUACAUGUACAUCAAAACACAUACAUGAUACAAUGAAGUUAGUUUCUUUUGUUUUUUUUUUUCCUUUUGAAAAUAUCUGUUCGUUGGAAAAUUAGUUGGUAAAAGGUUGAUAAAUCGUGGACUGGUUUUGCCAGAAGUCUAAUUGGACUUGGACUCUAACAAUUAAGUAGAGCUUCAAAUAUCUUCGUUAAUUUCAAAUUUGUAACGUAUUUCAAAGUUGUUAGUCCCAAAAGGGAAGGUACUAGUGCUGCGUGUUCAGCAAACUCGAUUGAACUUCUAGCACUUUUGACUGAUGUUGUUCAAAGACGUAUUAAGUUUUGCACUACUAAACUUGCUUGACCACAAUUACCCAUUUAUUUAGCAUAUAGGGUUCAAGGGAGGUUUUGGGACUCAUGAUUACCCAUUACCCAUAUAAUCAAGAAAUCCCACCUUUGAUUUGCUCCUAUAUAAAUCAUGAAGAAAAUCAUAUAAAGGAUCCAUCCCUUAAAUGUGGAUACCAGCCUCUUGCUACAUAUUCACAUGUGUGAAUAUGCUUUUUAGUUAAAAAUGAUAAAUAAAUAAAAAAUGACAUAGGUUUUGUUUUCCAAAUACUGAAACGGUUUUAAGAUGCGUUUGGUGUAAUUUUGUGCGAAUAUAAACUCAAAAAAUGAAAAAAAACGUUGCAAACAAUAUUUUACAUAAAUUUUGUAUCAAAUUGAUGCUCCAGUAUUUUUCAAGAAUAAAAUUUAAAAUAAUAUCAUACAUACUACCACAAUCACUACUUUCUCCACCGCUAUCACUCGUGCCACCAUGACCACAACCACUUCCAUUGUCUCACCAUCACCACCACAAUUGCCACUAUCACCAUCUUUAACACCAUCUCCUCCCACUACCAUCAUAGCAGCCACCACAUCAUUCAUUAGGGGUGGGCACGGUUCGGUUUGGUGCGGUUUUGAGUGAAACCGCAACUGAAACCGAAACUUUUGGCGGUGCGGUUUUGAAGCCAAAAUCGAAAUGAAACCAAACCGUUUUUAGUUUGGCUUUUGAGAAAAAAAUGUACAAUUUAAAAUUUACACCUAUCCACGCAUAAGAUGGUCUCAUUUUCCAAACAAUACAUGUUUACACAUAUCUAAUGCAAGUGUUAAUUUAUGCUGAAAAUUAAUAAAAUAGGAUCGUCUGCAUGUUUUCACUUGGCCACGAAUGAGAUUUGUAUUUAGCAGCAGACGCUGAUUAGCUCUUCCUCUUCGAAAGGUUGCAUUGAUAAGUGAUAAUUAUCAAAUAGAAUAGAGGUGGAAAUGAAUGACAUUCUAGUGUGGUUGAGUCCAAUACUAAAUGUAUGGACUCUAACAAACAACCAUAUAAAAGAUGACAUUUAAUUUGAGGUACAGUUUCGGUUUCGGUUUCGGUUUCAGUGCGAUUUUCAAAAGCCAAAACUGAAACCAAACUGUUUCCUACUAUGCGGUUCGGUUUCAAAACCGCAAAAUCUAACUGUUCAGUGCGGUUCAAUUUGAUUAUGUGUUUCGGUUUCGAUUUCGGUUUCAAGUGCCCACCCCUAUCCUUCACUGCCAUCACCUCUGUUACAAUGGCCACCGCCACCACCACCACUGAUGUCUCCAUUGUCUCACCAUUGAUGCUGCCACCAUCACCUCCUCACCAUCAACACCACCAUCAACAUCACCAUCUCCACCGCCUCAUCGUUGCCGCCGCCACCUCACCACCACCAUCGCCACUAUUACCACCGCCACCUCCCAUCAUCCUCACCAUGCAUGGUCGCUAAUAUCUCCACCAUCUCUGCCACCACCAUCCCAGCCACCUUUAAGCCACCAUUUCCAAAAUCAUCCUUCACAAUACAACCACCAUUUACCACCAUUAUCAUCGUCGCUGCCAUCACCGCCACCACACUGCCCCUCUACCCUGUUAUUAUUAGCAAUUAAUGUUAGGAUGAUAUUUUAUUUAUAUCUUGAAGAUAGUAGAAUUUGUUUAGGAACGUGGAAUAUAGGAACCUUAACGGGAAAAUCUGUGGAAGUAGUUGAAGUUAUGGUGAGGAGAAGGAUAAGUAUUAUGUGCCUACAAGAAACUAAGUGGGUUGGUCUUAAGGUAAAUGAUCUAGAAAACUCAAGUUUUAAACUUUGGUAUUCGGGCACAAAUAGAACUAGAAACUAUGUUGGCAUCAUCAUGUACAAGACCUUGACACAAGAUGUUGUAGAUGUUAAGAAGGUAAGAGAUAGAUUUAUGGCAAUCAAGAUUGUAAUAGGACAAAAACUCAUCAAUGUGAUUAGUGCGUAAGCAGCUCAAGUAGGGUUGGAUACGAGUUUGAAGGAGAAAUUUUGGGAAGAUCUUGGAGACUUGGUGCAAGGAAUUGCUCAGACGGAGAAGGUAUUUAUAGGAGAAGAUUUAAAUAGACACAUGGUCAAUGAGACAGGCAACUAUGAAGGUUUUCAUGGUGGCCAUGGUUUUGGGGAGAGAAACGAGAACGGGGAAGCCAUCUUGGAUUUUGCAAUGGCAUAUGAUCUCUUCUUAGCCAACAUCUUCUUUAAGAAGAGAGAAGAACAUGUGAUCACCUACAAGAGUAGGUCGUCAAAAACACAAAUUGAUUUUCUUCUAAUGAAGAAGGGGGAUCGUAUAACUUGUAAGGAUUGCAAAGCUAUACUGGGAGAGAGCUUGGCUAAUCAACAUCGCUUGUUGGUGAUGAAUGUACAUAUCAAAAGAGAGAGAAAAAGGAACAAAACCUUGAAGUGCCCAAAGACUAGAUGGUGGAAUCUAAAAGGACAAAAACAAGCAAUUUUCAAAGAGAAAGUAAUCACCUAAUGUGUGGGGGAUAGAGAGGGUGAAGCUAGCCAAAUGUGGGAUUCCAUGGCUACUUGUAUCUGAAAAGUAGCAAAAGAGGUAUUAGGAGAGUCCAAGGGCUUUGCUCCACGCCAAAAGGAAUCUUGAUGGUGGAAUGAGGAGGUACAAACAAAGGUUAAGGCUAAGAAGGAAUGUUGUAAAGCCUUAUACAAGGAUAGGACCGAUGAAAAUGGUGAAAGGUAUAGAAUAGAGAAGCAGGAGGCGAAAAAAGUUGUGAGAGAAGCUAAGCUAGUGGCUUAUGACGAUAUGUAUAAGCGACUAGAUACCAAAGAAGGAGAGUUGGAUAUCUAUGAACUAACUAGAGCAAGGGAAAAGAAGACAAGGGACCUAAACCAAGUGAGGUGCAUCAAGGAUGAAAAUGGAAAGGUUCUUGCUAUAGAGAACGCGGUCAAAGACAGAUAGAGAGGUUAUUUUCACAAUCUUUUCAAUAAAGGACAUGAAAUAAGUACUUUUUUUUUAGAGUUGAGUAACUCAGAAGAUUGUAGAAACUACUCCUUUUACCGCCGAAUUCAGAUGGAAUAAGUGGUUGUAGCUUUGAAAAAGAUAAGGCAUAGAAAAACAGUGGGCCUAGAUGAUAUACCGAUCGAAGUGUGGAAAGUUUUGGGAGAGACGGGUAUAGCACGGCUCACAAAGCUUUUCAAUAGGAUUUUGAAAAUGAAGAAGAUGCCAAAUGAGUGGUGAAAGAGCACUUUGGUGUCUAUCUACAAGAAUAAGGGCGGCGUACAAAAUUGCAUGAACUAUAGUGGUACUAAGCUAAUGAGUCAUACAAUGAAGCUCUAGGAGAGACUUAUUGAGCAUAGACUGAGGUAAGAGACACAGGUCUCGAACAACCAAUUCGGGUUCAUGACAGGACACUCAACCAUGGAGGCAAUCUAUCUCUUACGAAGAUUGAUGGAAAGAUAUAGAGAUAUGAAAAAGGAUUUACACAUGGUCUUUAUAGAUUUGGAAAAAGGGUAUGAUAGGGUCACAAGAGACAUUCUUUGGAGGAUUUUAGAGAAAAAAAUAGUACGAGUAGCAUAUAUCCAAGCUAUAAAAGAUAUGUAUGAUGGAGUAAAGACUGCCGUAAGAACUUAUGAAGGACAAAUCGAAAGCUUCCCCAUAACUGUAAGGUUACAUCAAAGGCUCAUCUUUAAGUCUUUACCGUUUUGCAUUGGUAAUGAAUGAGUUAACAUGACAUAUUCAAGAUGAUAUUCAUUGGUGUUUGCUUCUCGCAGACGAUAUAGUGUUGAUAGAUGAAACUCAGGAAGGGGUAAAUGUGAAGCUUAACUUUUAGAGAGAAGUGUUGGACUCUAAAGGUCUUCACCUAAGUCGAUCAAAGACAGAAUAUAUGAAGUGCAAGUUUAGUGCAAAUGAAGGCUCAAAUGAGUUAGGGGUGAUGAUCGGAGACCAUGAAGUACCAAAGAGCGACCACUUUCACUACCUAGGAUCUAUCUUGCAAAAGAACGGAUAAUUAGAUGGAGACCUCAACCAUAGAAUACAAGCUAGAUGGAUAAAGUGGAAGAGUGCCGCCAAUGUGUUGUGUGAUCGUUGUAUGCCACUGAAGCUUAAUGGAAAUUUUUAUAAGACAGCAAUAAGGCCGGCAAUGUUAUAUGGCACAGAAUGUUGGGCGGUGAAGUAUCAACACAUACAUAAAAUGGGUGUAGUAGAGAUGAGGAUGCUUCGUUGGAUGUGUAGGCACACGAGGAAGGAUAAGAUUAUGAAUGAAGAUAUCCGAGGUAAAGUAGGAGUAACCGAAAUUGAAGGAAAUAUGAGAGAAAAUCGGUGACAGUGUUUUGGACAUGUGUAAUGAAGGCCUACUGACACUCCAGCUAGAAGAUGCAACUACGGAACAAAGGUCCAGGGCCGAAGGGGUAGAGAAAGAUCUAGGAAGACUUUGGAAGAGACUCUAAGAAAAGACUUAGAGUACUUGGAUCUAACGGAAGACAUGACAUACAACCGAGUGCAAUGGCGUUCUAGGAUUCAUAUAGCCGACCUCACUUAGUGGGAAAAUGCUUUGUUGUUGUUGUUGUUGUUGUUGAACCUCUUUUAUCUAUUAUAUAGUCAUGGUUUUGUAUUAAAUUGUUGGAUUUAAUGUGUUUUGUGCAAGUUUGAUAGCAAAUAUGAUUUGGGAACAAAAAAUGAACUUAACAAUUAAAAUACGAGGAAACCUGAAGAGUUGAAGAGAUGGGCUGCUGGGCAUCUUAUAUUUGUGCCAAUAUUAGAAAAUGGACCGGUGCACUACCUAAUAAAUUGGUCCAUUGAAGCUAGCCCAAUUAAUGGGCAUUGCCUAAUCCAAUUGAUGUGGUGAUACUUAAAAAGGUGAACAGUACCGAGAUUUUUUCGUUAAAAUUCCCUUUAAAUUAUCCUAUUUCCGUGUGGAUUAAGGAAGUAAUAGAAAUAUAAAUAGGAGAAUGAGACACCAGUUGAAGACCCACCCACCUACACGCACACAUACAGAGGGGGAGAGAGAAGCCGAAAGCAAAGAGGAAUAUCACAAACACUGAAACAAGUGACAGGAAGUGGUUUGAGUUUUCAAGAGGGAUAUCACAUUGCACUACGCGGCAUUCAGGAACACUUACCCAAUUUGGGCUCUUGCAGAAUACCUCAACAUGUUACAAAAAUGGAACUGGAAGUUAACGAAUGGCUAAGCACACCGUUAAAUAGAAGGUUAUGCGCUGUUAUGUUCUUUGGUUUACAUACCAGAUACUGAAUUAGCUAUUGCAUAAUAAAGAACGCUUAUUGUAUCUGACAUGGACUUUCUUCCUUGGCAUUCAAUUACAGAAGUAGAAUAAACACUUCAGGUUUUGUAAGACAUAGUACAAAGCCAGCAUCAAAUAAAGAUUCAUAUGGUGUGAACUGCGAUUUGGUUAAAUAUUUAAUCACUGCCCAUUUGUUACGGCGUUUCAAUGGGAGCGAUGCAAGUUAGAGAGCAGAAAGUACUAAAAUGUAGCAAAUUUGCAGGGAAGACUCGUACAAAUUUAUUUUGAUGAGAUGUGACAUCUCGCAAUGCAUGAUACAUGUUGUCUAUACGUAACAUAAAUAUGUAUAUAUUUUCACAGAUUAUUCGUUCUUUAGCGGUUACAAAUCACAAAAGAAUACAUUUGCAUAGAUUAUUCGUUCUUCAGCAGUUACAAGUUCAUCAACUCUACAGACACAAAAGAAGAAAGGAACAAAAUAUGGCACAACUAGAACUAGGUUUUAUAUGUUCUGGUUGUAUUGGCAAGUCCCAUGGAUUUCCUUUUGCUUGUGAUCCAAGGCUCAAGCGAUCUUUUUGAUAGGCAACGAAACCAGUGUGCGGUAUUCACCGAGAGCCCACAAUGGGAAGAUAUUUCUGUAUGCUGCAUAGUGCAACAUAGCAUUCCUCAUAAAAACUCCCAUCAGUUCCUGUUGGGGGAAAUCGCCGUCAUCCAAUUGACCGUUCAUUAACACCGCAGCAGCCCGGUGAAUAGGAGUUGGAUCUCUCUCAGCCUAUAGCAAAGAAAAAAAAUCAUUUAGAAAUUUAUUUUUUGGAGGGAAUUGUGAAAAACUAAAACAGAACACCUCUAAAAUGUUUGUCAUGUACUGACCUGUCGACCGUGAAUCAGACCCAUUAAUCCGAGUGCAGUUUGGACUAAAUUUGUACUGUCUUGAGCUGUAUAUUUCUGAAGAGAUAGAACAAGUGAAAUAUUAGAAUUAUGCUUUCCUUGAGGUCAACAGGGUUACCUUUUCGUUACUAUUGAAUUUCAUUGGUACCUUGUUUGUGCAUGAGGUGUAGUGCUCUCCCCAGCCACCAUCUGCCCUUUGUGUUUUGAGCAAAAAGUCGACACCUUUGCGCACUGCCUCACAGUUGUUGUAUGUCCUGCCGGCAGCCUCCAGCCCUUUGAUUGCGAACCAUGUACCAUACACGAAGCAGAUUCCCCAGUUUCCAUACCAUGAGCCAUCAGGGUACUGUAUGUCUUCAAUGUAGUCUGCAGCCCUUGUGAUGAAAUUGUUGAUCUCCUUCCUUCUAUGGCCAGGGUACAACUUCCUAAACAAUGUUAAGGCCUGGAUCGAAGAUGAAGUGCACUCGAUGUACUCGUACUCAAUGACAAGGUCCUCAAGAAACUCCACAGGGUUGAGCCACUGAAGAGGGAAAACAAAUUAGUAUAUCCAAUUUAUGAGACAUAGUGAAAUGACGAAAGCUUUCAAAUUUCUUCGGAAAAAAAUUAUUAAGAUUUUCGGUUUUUGUUACCUCCAACCAUUUUGGUGCUCCUGUUGGCUCCCAGGCUGAUACACCACCAUUUGGACUUUGAAGAGACAUGAUGACAUUGACAGCAUCAUACAUACACUCAGCUUCCAUUGGCUCACCAACAACUUCUGGGGACAUAUUUGCAAAAAUGCAGCAACACUGAAGCAAAACAUGUUACAAGUUAGCACCAUUUUCAAUUUUUCAUCAUAAAUGAGAGGCAAAAUCUUCAACUUAAGUUAAGCACUUGAGUAAAAUCACUUACCCUCAGUGCUUCUGCAGUGCAAUCUGACACUUGCCAUCCAUGAUCACGGUCAGAGAAUGUCCAUGCGCCCUUUGAAAUGUGACGGAAAUGAGAUAGGUAGUCACCGGAUGUAUUAAUCCUCACCUACAAUGGUACGCAUAGGAUGUGUAUUUUUAAGUCAACAGAAAAUCUCAACACAUUUUCGUAUGUCAAAUACAGUUUUAAUGACUUGAAUAUGUACCUGAGAUAUCUUGAGGAAUUCGUGUGCUUUCUUAAGGGUGGGUCCCAUUUCAGCAUUAAGAUUCCCAGCAAGCAAAGCUUGAAUCACAAGAGCACAAUCCCAUGACUGGCUUCCAAAACUUUGCAUCUUGAUUCCAUCCUCUCCGAGCCAGAUAUAAUCGGUAACUCUAGGAAGAUGCUUCUUGAAAGCUUCUCCACUAGGAUCCUCGGCCCAGCAAGCAAGCAUCAUCAAUGGCUUUUCCACGCAUCCGAUUGUAAUGUAACGACUGUUCUCAUCUUCAUAAUGAAUUUGGUCAAUUGUGAAUUGAAUUGCAUUGUCUCUGAUCUUCUUGAAAGGCCAGCGUUUUAGGAGAGGCUCGACGAUAUUGUAAAAACCGUCCCACAUAAAACGUUGUACACGACCAUGGGGAUAGUAGUUAUCUUCCUGCAUUAGUCAACAUUGCAUAGCACAGUAAGGUUAUGUAUGUGAAAAUUUUUCUUUAACAUAAUAAAAUUGAACAACGGCAUGAACUAUAUAAGGAACAAAAAAAGGUAAACUCACUGUUGCACACCAAUGGCGCACUUUAGGCCAGUUAAUUUCGUUGUAAGAUUCACAGUAAAUUUCUUGUCUCAAUUCCUCAACAAGUGGAGUGAUUGGGCCAACAAAUCUUGUGGCAUAAAAGUAAGACAUAGGUAGGUAAGUCAACCUACAGUAGCAGAACAUUUUUGCUGCAGAGAUGAAGUUGUACUAAUUAGAAGACUUGUACUAUUUAACUUAACAAGAAAAUAGGAUGUGGAAGAAAAUUGUGCUUACAUGGAUGAAAAGGAAGCAGAGUCGACCCAGUCCAGAAUUCUGGGGGCAUUGGGUUGCUGCCUUCCCAGUCAUACACACCAAGAAUCUGCAACACAAAUUAAGUUAGACCAUUUCCUCAAAUGUGCAUCCUUUUACAGUAUAAAAUACCACUUUUAUUUAAAACAAACUAGUAAGUUAUACGCACCGCCAUCCAAGUUUUGCCCCAUGAUGCAGAAUAGUACGCACCACCACGGUCAAGAAUCCACUUUCGUGCCCUUGCGCAGGCAUUGUCACGACCACCAUCGGGGCCAUCUCCGAGAAUACGCAUCAUACAGUAGUUUAGGCAUGUAGUAAACAUCAUACUAGGCCCCGCUAUGUGCAGUCCCCAGCCACCAUCUUCAUUUUGAUGGUUGUAUGUGUAACGCAAGAUUUCCUUCUUGUGCUCAGCGGAGAAAAUAACAUUGAGAUAUCCUGGAAUGUAUGCAGCCAUGACCUAUAAUUUUUUGGCAAUAAAGAUGCAACAAUUAGUCCGCUGUCACAUACAAGGGCACUAAAAACCCAAUUUUUUUACUAUUACAGCAUCUCAAUUUUUUUACUAUAUGGUAAAUAAGGAGCAAAAUUUCGCACCAAGGGAGGGAAGUAAAAGUUUGGGCCAGCAUUUUCAGCAGGCCAAUGUCCAUGGGGUGAUUGCAAGGCAUUCCAGAAGGUAGCAGCCCUCCUGAAUGCAGCUGUGGCCUGAUCAUAUGUAAUGUCCUCACCCUCCCCAACUCUUACUGGAGGAAUUUCUUGUUUAAAGUUUUUCUCUCUUAGUAUCUGCAAUUGGUCAAAGUAAAAUAUUAUAUCGUACUGAAUAAAUAAAUAAAAAAAAAGAAAAAAAAAAAGAGGAUUUGGAAGAACUAAAUAAAUAAACAGAAUAUAAACACUGUUGUACAAACUAACAAGGCAUGCAUCUCACACGGAGUUCACUUUUCUUUGGCCGCCUACCACUCAGUCUCGCACGUAAAGAGUGUACAAGUUCACAAAAGUUGACCAAUGUGUUUUUGGUGGAGUAACUUUGAAAAUGAAAAACCUUGUUUUAUGUACCGCAAAUAUGUCACGUGCUUCAACUGUUACAUAAUAAUUAAUGCUAUUUAACGAAGUAAAAAACGAUUAGAUUAUAAAUCAGCUCUUAAAUAGUGGUGAAUCUUAUUUUAUGUAUUAGAAACGUGAUUAACAAUGUGAUUAGUUUUAUGUGUUACUCAUUACAUACAAAAUAGAACUAAAUCGCAAUAUUAACAUGAAAUAAUAUACGCCAGAAGGGUUGGGGUUGGAUUUAUAAUACAUUUUAUGACUUUGGCAAUUCCAGGUUAUCUUUUUCGUAUUUGGUCCAACUCACCAUGUUAGUUUUAGGUGAACAUAAUCUGUCCUCGUUAUCUGGAAGAGCAUAAUCUUCUCGAGAUGCAUUCUAAUUAUUAUUUUUAUAGCAUAAUUAAAGCCGACUCCAACCCUAUAUCAUGAAAUAUGCUAAUAAACUAUAUUCAAUGUAAAUACUUUUAUCUAUAUUCAAACGAAUAACUAUAUCAUGAAAUAUAUUAAGCAAUUAAAGCCCACUCAGAAGUUUAUAGUUUAUAUAUAUAUACAACGGUGGGGAGCGUGUCCCCAUUUUUUUGAAAAAAUGGUGAUCCCUCCCCUUAAGCAAUUCCAUAUAUAUAUAGGAAUUGCUUAAGGGGAGGGAUCACCAUUUUUUCAAAAAAAUGGGGACACGCUCCCCACCGUUGGAUUUGAAUUAAAUGAAAUCCUGUGGUUGAGAUUCUAUGGCCUGUGUUUUAAUCUCAACCACACAAUUUCAUUAAAGUCAAUCUAACGGUGGGGAGCGUGUCCCCAUUUUUUUUGAAAAAAUAAGGAUCCCUCCCCUUAAGCUCCCUGUGUGUAUAUAUAUAUAUAUAUAUAUAUAUAUUAAUAAACAAAUAUUUGCAUUAAAGAGCACAAGACUUUGAACUUAAACCUGUCAAUUAGAUAAAAAGAGAGAUAACACUAGUAUUACCUGAAAACGCCAUAGGAGGUCGCUGCUAGGCUGGACCUUGAAGCGAUUUUGGUAGAAAUGCUCACGAGCAGCUUCAACUUCUGCUCGCUCCUCCUCGGUACCUGCAUCUGGGUCGAACUCCCAUGUCUGCCUUCCAUGGAAGUUGUUUGUGCUGAACAACAUAGGGUCAUUUGCACCCUCUCCAAACUUGAUCUUCCACAUCUUGAUCACUGGAUUAGUAGUACAAAAAUAAUCUUUUUUCUAGUACCUGCAUGAAUGAUACAAAUACAUAACGAAAUUAAUUAGUAAGGGCUUGAUAGAUACACGUUCUAGUUCUAUGUAACUGUAAGAAAAUAGGGUUUGAAUUACUGUUCUAUUUUCAUAUUUUUGUAGAAAAAGGGGGAAAAGUAUGAUAAAAGAGGUUUAAAAGAAUGAUUGAUUUCUAUAACUCAUUGAAAUCUCUUAUGCAUAUCUCAAUCUCAACCAUCCACCUGAACUCUGGCUACCCAAAUCUCUAUGUAAUGACCAAGAAUCUUGUGUGUGUGUGUGUGUGUGAGAGAGACAGAGAGAGAUGAUGAUGAUGGUGAUGAUGAUGACCUAAUUGUAAACUUUAUGAUAUAAUUUUUUUACAUAUGCUAACUGCAGGGAGAUGGAUAGUACUGAAGAAGCUCUGGCCCUUGAGCUUGAGGACUCACCGAUUGCAAAAACUGGCUGUGAUGGUGAGGAAGGAAAGAGUUUGCUUUGAGUUGCUUGGCACAGAUGCUGAGUCUCUGUGUGAUGAUUGAUGCAUGGGAAACCCACUUUAUAUACUUACAUACCCUAGGGGCCUACAGUAAAAUGUGGCCACCAUGCCUCCUUUUUUUCUAUAUUUUAAUCAUCGCUCUUGGUCAACUUUGGUGUUUUCUGACUUUCUCAGGCUCUUUGUUAUUUACUAAUAAUAUUUUUUCACAAUUUUAAUUAUACACCGAUUUAUAUUUGUACUAUCAAACAAACCGACACGUUAUUUCAACUACCUUCACAAGUUUUCAGUUACAUUCUUAUGAAAAAGAGAACUUUAACGAAAAGUUUUCGGUGUCGUUUAUUUUAACAAAGAAUCAUAUUUUUAUAUUAAAAAAUUAAUUCCGGUAUUAUUCAUUUUACUCCUUAUUUUGUCCUUAUCGUUAAAACUCAAAGUUUUCAAAUCAUUUUCAUUAAUUUGCCUUAUGAUAAAUGGUCUGAUAGUUUGCUUUGUAUAGUUUUAAAAACACCAGAGUUUAUAACGUUUUUCAGUUUUUUUUAAUAAAUUAUUUUAUUUCAAUAUUGCUUAAUUAUCCUCAAUUUUUUUUUUAGGUUUAGGAGAAAAACACAACUUGCGUUAAUGAGUGCACGUUUUAAAAGAAAUGAUAUCAUUUCAUAUAAUAUUAGAGGUGUAAGAAAUAAAAGAUUCCUGAAAUCAUCAUAUCUGAUGAUGCUAUAUUGUGGAUGUAUGUUGAAUUUUGAUAACCGAAAGGAAGAAACAAAGAGAGGGAUCAGUCUAUUUAGACUACGAAAAAAAAAUGUCAUUGUCCUUGUCUUCUUAAAAAAAAAAAAAAGUUUCUCACUCUUAAUUUAGAAAUGUUUUUUCUAUGCAUUUAAUAAUCAAUUACCUAAGCUACAGUCAAUUUUAGUAGUAAAUUAUGGUGAGGGUUGUUAAUUUAUGUCAUGCAACAUCAGAUUUGACUUUUCAGUUAAGAAACAUUGUUACUAUCUUUUUUCCUAUUAAUGUUGAUUUGGACAUUUUAACAAGCUCUUAAUAGAUGGAUAGAUAUUUCAGAAGAUGAAUGCUAGUGAUCUUUUCAAUUUACCUUCUUCUUUGUUCCUUUUCCAUUCAACAUUUAACAUGUAUACUUCACUAUAAAAUUAAAUUAAAAUUUUUAUUGUCAUGAAAAUACAAAUUAUUUGUUCCCCUUAUUCCCUUAACAAAUAAACCAAAUUAGAAUAAAGAUAAAACUAUAAAGCUCUGGCCCCACCCAUUACUCUGCCAUCUUUGUCUCCUUCCUAUCAUUUCACAUCUAGUGGCAGAGUCAAUUUCAGAGUGCCUCUCACAUACGCAGGUAAUUUGAACUCAGAAUAUGAGAAAUUUGAGUAAUUUGCAUAAAAAUUGAAAUAUCCUAAAUUGAACAAAGAGAAAUAAAAACAUUGCACAAACCUAAAAACCUGAAUAUGAGUUUAAGAGUAAGCAAGAAUUUUUUAAAAAUAAAGUUAAGCCAAAGAAAAGUUGAUAGAACAAGGAGGGGGAAGUGAAAACUGCACUGCAAUUAAGAGGGGGAAAAAUAGGUCUAACCUGAAAUGGAAAAGAGUUUCGAUUGAGAACAAAAUUGAAUUUUGAGGGUAUUAGACUAAUAUGCAAUAUGAGUAGCUAGAAGAAGAAGAAAAAAGGCCGAAUGGGCCAAGGACCUUAGGGAUAUGAUUGGAUUGGCAUGCACUUGUAAGAUGGGACUUAUAACCCACGUAUGAUAACCCAUUCUAGUGCAGAUUCGUAACCCAUCUUGUCCAUAUCACAUUUUGAGACAACAUUGAAUGGACUGGACUCAAGUCCAAUCCUAUCCCGCUAGUGUUCACAUUUAUCAAGCAGGGGUCACCCAUGGCAGGAGUAGGAUUCUCUCCCUCCUAAUCUCUCUCCCCUUCCAUCCCUUCCUAUUUAAACGGUUGCGAUUACACCACGUUUACAUCUUGUUUUGAAUUUUUUAUAUAGAGAAUAAGACAAAAAGAAAAGUGUGAGAGGAGGAGAUGGAAUGGGAUGAUAAUAGGAGGGGAAAGAAUACUACUCCUCUAUGCCAGGCUCAGUCCUUGAACUACAACGACAAUUAAGAAAAAAAUAAAACAAACAUUUGAUUCUACAAGAUCAUACCCAUAUCGAGCUCUUGAAAUUCUUAUACGAAUAUCCGCUGAUCCAAUAUAACGUGACGUAAUUCUUCUUUUGAUUUCCUCGUCUUUUUUGGUGCUUUUUUCUCUUAGUAACAAGGAAGGUCGGUGAAAGAUCGUUGAUAAUAGAAAUCAAGAACCUACAUUGGGAGUUGAUUUUUUUUAGGAAGCGGGGGGCUGUCUUUUUGGUGCUUUUUACUAAGAUCGUCGUCAAUGAUGAAAAUCAAGAACUUAGGGGGGUGUAGUCAAACUAAGAUUUUAAAGGAUUUUAAAAGUGAUAGAUUUGAUAGGAUUUAGGAGGAUUUAAAACUCCUACAAAAUUCAUAUGGAUUUUAAAGAAUUUGAAUGGAUUUAGUUUGUAGAUUUUGGUGGAUUUUCAUAUAAUUUUUUUUAUUGAAAAAAAAAAAAUCUUUCCCCUUGCUCUAUUGUACUCGAUAGCCACUUUAUCCCCUCCCUUUUCGGGUCCCCUUUCACACGAUCAUGGCUCCAUCUCUUUCUCAAUUGAUAGAUCAACAUAACUUUGGUGAGCUUUUGAGUACUACACACCACCAACAACCAUCACCACCGACUGCCUUUUUGCCACAGACGUACGCUGUGGUCAGUGGCGGAUCCAGGAAAUAAUGUUUGUGGGGUCAUAGCGCGCGUAACGCGAAAUUUUUUUUUAGCCUCGUUGGUACUUCGGACUGUACUGAUUAUUUCAGUCGGAUAGGAUAAAUAGUCGUCGGAUAGUACUAACUACAUUAGUCGGGCGUUUGGUGCAGUGUCGAAUUAAUCUGUGCAUGGAACAAUACUAAAUUUUUUUAAUAAUUUUUAACAAAAUAAUUGGUGUUAAAAUGAAAAAACUCACAAUAUAAACAAAUCAUCAAUAUAAUCAAAAUAAAUAUGAAUUGAAUUUCAAUUAAAUUAAAUAUAUUCUACAUAUACAAAAUAUUCAAAAUAAAUACUCACAAUAUAAACAAACCAUCAACAUAAUCAAAAUAAAUAUGAAUUGGAUUUCAAUUAAAUUAAAUAUCUCAUCUUGCAUUCUACAUAUAAAAAAUAAUGAAAAUAAAAACUCAAUAUAAAACAAAUCAUCAAUAUAAUCAAAAUAAAAUAUGAAUUGAAUUUCAAUUAAAUUAAAUAUAUUCUACAUAUACAAAAUAUUCAAAAUAAAUACUCACAAUAUAAACAAACCACCAACAUAAUCAAAAUAAAUAUGAAUUAGGGUUGGAGGAGGAGGAGAGAAACAAAAGAAAUUUGGGGGUUUUAGAAAGAAGGGAUUCGGAUCUGUGCAAAAUAGGGCUGAUAGGACACAUUGGGUAUUUUUUUUUUUGUUCAGACCUGCCCAGGACACGCUGGGCAUUUGUUUUUUGUUCAGACCUGGCCCAAAACGACGUCGUUUUGGCCAGGUCAUUUAAAAAAAUUUCCUGGGCCAAAACGACGCCGUUUUGCCCGUAUGUUUUGAAAAAAAAGAAGCGCGCAGCUUCUUCUUCCUCUUCCUGCAGUGCCGAGCUUCGUUCAGGAUUUUUGUCGAACACUUGGCGUGCGACUCCGACCCCGACGACCCCGACGACCCCAGCUCCAAGAGGUCGCGUAUGGGAGCUUCAAGGUUGUUUCCAUGGUUUCCAAGGGGUCGUGCGACCCCGACGACCCCACUGUGGAUCCGCCCCUGGCUGUGGUGUAGUGCUUGUAGUACCAGAGACAUUAAAAAAUCAGAAUGGCUAAAGAGUAGUAUUAACCAAAAUCCUAGAUCGAUCAUAUCCUUCGAUGAUCAUACAUGUCUAAUUAAGGUCUAAGGGUUAUAAUAAGAGAUUCCACCAAAGUAUAUGGUGGUUACCUCUGUGUGGUUGGGGUUGGUAGAGAUUUGAGGACUGUCCAGAUGGUAAAGGAUUUGAAAUCCUAGGUGUAAGGUUGGAUUCUUUAGUCUUGGUUAUAUAUACUUCUUGCUCUCAAAUCCCACAAAAUCCACAACUUAUUGAAAUCCUCCAAAAUCUUUUUUAGUACACUUAGAUUUGGAUGGAUUUUUAAAUCCUUUAAAAUCUUUUAAUUGACUACACAUAGAUUUGAAUGGAUUAUAAAAUCCUUUAAAAUAUUUUAAUUGACUAUAUUAGGAUUUUAAAGUCUCCAUAAAUGGGUGUAAGGCUAGCCGACAUUCACCUCUCCCAGACCCUGCGUAAAGCGGGAGCCUUGUGCAUUGGGUACGACCUUUUUAUACUCUUAUGAAAAGAAAUUUGUAAAAAUUAAAAAGUAAAUCAGCACACAUGGUGUUUUGAAAUCAAGACCUUCUCAUUAAUUUCAAACAACAAAGCCAUCAGUUCUAGUUAAACUUCAUUGUCAUUGAACCAAAUUUUAUAAAUUGAUACUCUUAUGAAAACAUAUACAAAUAUAUCACCCUAAUAAUUUUGGUGCCCCCAAUUAUUUUGGGCCUCGGAGGGUAUUAUGGGAAAAUAUGUAGGAUGCAUUAAGAUAAUUUUUAAUUGAAAAAGCAAAUGUGAUAUGUAGGGUUUAUUCAACAAUUUGUGAGGUGUUAAUAUAAUAAGCCUUUUUUUUAAAGACAAUAUUAUCUACACUAAUUAAGAGUGGAGGAGUGGGCUAAGCCUCACACUCUACUAGUCAUAUUAAUGUGAUUCAAAUCCUUUAUUGACGAAAAUCAAAUCCAAAAUUUCUCACUUACAAAUGAAUAAAAAUACUAAUACACCAUAGUACUAAGCGUUAAUAUUUUUUAAUUUUAAAACGACAGGUUUUAAAUGAGACCCUUAUUUUACUGGAUGAUGGCCAUAAUUUGGAGCUACAUGGGAAUAUGAUCAUGAACCCCUUGGCGCCAUUCUACAACAAAGCCAUUUAAUAAUGCAGCACGUAAAGUUUGACUACUUAUUAGUGAUCAGCUGUAGAACCCUUCACAAUCACAAGAUAAAUUUUUUGUGCUAAAUAUAUAAAAUGGCGGUGUUGACUUGUUCAACGCAAAUUAUUGAGCAUUUUACCACCAUAUCAUCGACACGUUGAAAACAACAUUUAGAGAUUCGUGUAUCUGAUUCAAGUACAGAUAUUUGUGAAAGCCAGGAAUAAAACAGUUGGGGAAUUGACACUUUCAUGGAAACCGGUAAGAUGGUCACAAAAAUUAAGAAUAUACAUAGAAAAAGUGAAGGGAUGUGAUAUCUACACAUUAUUUUUUACUUCUCGUGAGAAGUAAAAAAAGAUGUGUGGAUAGCACAUCCCAAAAGUGAAAUGCUUCUGUUUAGCUAUCUAAUAUACUUAUAAAAUGAUUUAGGGUCUAGUAAUAUUUAUUUGUACUUGUAUAUAAGAGAUUUUAAAUUCGAUUCACAUGAAUAAAGAUAACGUAUAAUUUUGUGUUAAGUUCGAUAACUAAUUAUAAUUUAUCAUUGUGUGCCGUAAUCUCUCUCCUCUUAGACUAGAGUAGAAUGUCUCCUUCCUUAGAAUAGAAUACAUCUUUGUAUAGAAACAAAAAAAAAUUCCAAAAAAUAUUAAAUAAAUUGAAAUUUGAAACCCAUAAUAUUACACAGUCAAAGUUGGUGAGUUUACAUGAAGUCAAUGAUGCUGAGGAUGUACCAUGUCAAAGAAAAGAAUGGACGUCAGAUGGGGCUACCAACUCUCACACAGGGAGCUCCCAGUUCAGAGUAAGCAAGCUGUAAAUGCAGUGUGCUUAAUGCUUCGUGACCAAGUAAAACUACAACGCAACUUCCACAUUUAACUACAGACGAAUCUUAGUUGGAUUAUAGGUGCAUAAUCUAAUUAACUAAAUGAAUUAGUCUCUCCCCCCCCGCCCCCCGCGACCGGCCCCCCCCCAAAAAAAAAAUUAGUCUUUUGGAUUGAGGUCAUCUCCAACCGAAGGGUCUAGAGGCCAGAGGCUGAAAAUAGUUCGAAAACCAUCUUCAACUGAGAGCUAGAUCAGAUGGCUCGUGGAAUCUAAGGCCAUCUCCAACCGAAGGGUCCAGAUGACCAAAAAUAGCCCGAAAACCGUCUCCAAUUAAGGGUUAGGCCAGAGGGCUCAUGAAAUCUGAGAGGACCCCACAGAAUCUGAAAGGGCCAAAAGGCUAGAGGGCUAGCUAUAUGCAACCAGCAAGCCAGCCUGGGGUUGGCCAGAAAAUACAUUAAUCUUGUCGAUUAUAAUGACGGGAAUGCUUAAAAAAAUUUUGAAUCGAACGGCUAACUGGUGUCAGUUAUCGUUGGAUUCAUUUUUUUUUUUUUUAAGGUUCUUUGGGCCUUUUUUUUUUAAUUCUCAAAAAUUUUAAUUUUUUUUACUAUAAAUACCUAAACCAUUCAUUCACCAUUCCUCACAAAACUUUCACCAUUCUUACACCAUUUCAAUUCUCAUAUUUUCUUUCCUCUUUCAAAAAUCUAUCCUUCAAUUUUUUCAAUAAUUUUCAAAUGGUCUCGUCUGCAAUGAAAGGUAAGGCUUGGACCCGAAAAGAAGAUGAAGCUUUAUGCAAGGUUUAUAGAUGGGUGUCGGAAGAUAGUGUGAGGGGGAAUUGUCAAACAAAUGACGGUGUUUGGACUCGUGUGUCCAAAAAAUACUUAGAGUUCUAUGAAGGCACCACUCCAGUAAAUAUUCGAAACCACGAGAGUUGUUCUUCAAGAUGGAAGAAACAUCUCCAGCCAAGUUUGAACAAAUAGCAUCAAGUAUUGUUAGCAGCCACAAGUAGACAUGAAAGUGGCGCUAAUUACUACGACGAAGUAAGUGUUUUCACAAUUUAUUUUAAAUAUUUAAUUAUAUUACAUUUAAUUUCAUAAAUUAAUUUCCUUUAAUUUUUUUUUCUAGGUACGCCAAGCAGAGGAAUUGUAUAUGGAGAGCAGCUCGAAACCCUUUCAAUUUCACAGUUGUUGGGAAAUUUGUAAAGGGUGGGUGUUAUUUGAAGAUCCACCACAUAGAGCUCCUACGCCGGUGUUCGAAACUGCAUCCUUAGCUGCAGAUAUGGAUGAAGAUGGAUCUCCAACCAUUCAACAAACAAGGGUAGAAAAUCUAUCUUCGGUUGAAGGUUCCAUACUUAGUGUUAUGGGACGAAUCAAGGCGCGUAGGUUGAAGGAAAAGGGCAAGGUAAGUGGUGAUUACGCCACUCAACAUGAACUGGCGGCCUCAUUGCGAUUAAUGGCGGAGCAAAAUGCCCUUGAGGCGGAAGAAAGGAAAAGUAGGCAUGAAGAGCGGGCCAAACAAAUACAAGAAGAGAUGGAUGAUAAGAAUAUGGAAAUGAACACUUCGAAUUACACUCCAAUGAGUAAGGCCUAUUUUGAUAGGAAAAAAAAGAACAAGAAAUUAUGACCCGGCAGCAGUUGUUUACCUAUGACUAUACUCCUACAAUGGCGGAUGAUGAAGAUGAUGUUGAUUAUGGAUAUUAAAUUUAAGUUGUCGUAGUUUUUAAAUUCAAGUUAAUGUUGUUUUUAAAUUUUAUUUGUAGUUUUUAAAUUUAAUUCGUCGUUUUUAAAUUUAAGUUGUAGUUUUUAAAUUUAAGUUGUUGGAUUUGAAUUUAAGUUUUUGUGGUUUUUAAAUUUAAAUAAUAAAUUAUGUUUGGCCAUUUGGCCCUCGGUUGGAGACGGUUUUUUGUGAUAGGGCUAAAACGAGCCCUAUGACUGACCCUUUGGCCAUCGGUUGGAGAUGGAGGCAAAUAUGGCCCUAUAUUGUUCAUUAAAAUAUUAAUAUCUUGGAGGGCCAGAGGGCUAAAACGAGCCUUCUGGCCAGCCCUCGAUUAGAGAUGGCCUAAGGGUUUGACACUCAGGCCAUCUCCAACCGAGGGCUGGCCAGAUGGCUCGUUUUAGCCCGCUGGCCCUCCACAAUAUUAAUAUUUUAAUGAACAGUACAUGGCCAUAUUUGCCUUCGUCUCCAACCGAGGGCCAAAGGGCCAUAGGGCUCGUUUUAGCCCUGUCACAAAAAACCAUCUCUAACCGAGGGCCAAAUGGCCAUAGUGCCAAACAUAAUUUAUUAUUUAAAAACUACAAUUUAAAAGUGAUGUCAGCUAGCUGUUGGUAGCUGACAUCAUGUUGACGUCAACUAGCCGUUGGAUUUGAUUUUGAUUUUUAUUUUUUUUGCAAUAAAUAGGGUGGAUAUUGGGCUAUAAUUCACACAACUUUGAAUUCAAUCUAUUUCAAUUCAAUCUCUUUCAAUUUAAUCUUUUUCAAUUCAAGUUUACAAUGAAUUCCAACUUUGGAUCCUCUUCGGAUUCCAACUAGGGGUCCUCAUCCAAUUCCAAAUUGGAAGCAAAAUAGGUGCAAAUGAGACGAGAAGAUGAGGAGUCUGAUGAAGAAGUUUAAGUAAUGCACAACAAACAAAACAAAGCAUCAGCCAUGGUGUGUCAACCAACAUAGGAACAACCUCAAUGGGGUGGCUCUGUUGCUGGUCGCUCUUACAAACCACGAAAUAGAGUGAUGACACAUGCCAAUCUAAUGAACAACUACUUCAACCCCAACUCGGUGUACACAAAAGAAGAUUUCAGACGUCACUUCCGGAUGAGGCAUCAUGUCUUCGAGCAUUACUUCAUGAUGUCCAGCAGGUCAAUCCAUACUUUCGACAAAAGUGGGACAGAGCAGGCCACCCUGGUUUCUCACCUCAUUAGAAGGUUACUGUUGCACUCCGAAUGAUGGCCUAUGGCUCCCCAACUAAUUCGAUGGAUGAAACCCAUGGUAUGUCUAAUUGUACAUGCCUUCAUACUCUUGAACAAUUCUAUGACACAAUUGUUCAGGUUUACAAAGACGAGUACCUUCGCGAGCCAAAUCAAGGAGAUCUAAAUCGGCUCAUUCACAAAUCUGAAGACCGUGGGUUUCCGGACAUGAUAGGGUCAAUAGACUGCAUGUAUUGGGAUUGGAAGAACUGUCCCAUCGAAUGGCAAGAAGGCUUUAGCGGAAGGUCGAGAAAGCCAACUGUUGUGUUAGAGGCGGUUGCCUCAUAUCACACAUGGAUCUAGCAUACUUUUUUUGGAGUCCCUGGAUCCCAAAAUGACAUUACAGUUCUUGGGCGUUCACCCCUCUUCAAUAACUUGACGAAAGGUAAAGCAUCUCAACUUGACGGAAGGAAAAACAUCUCAACUUGACUACUACAUCAACAACCGUUAAUAUAAUAUAUGGUUUUACUUGGCAGAUGGCAUCUACCCAAAGUGGGCGACACUUGUGCAAGCAAUUCCAAACCCUAGGAAUAACGCAAAAAAGUUGUUUACCUUACACCAAUAGGCAUACCAGAAAGAUGUUGAGAGAGCUUUCAGUAUUCUACAAGCACGGUGGAAGAUCAUCAACGAACUAGCAAGAGGGUGGAGUCGAGAAAAUUUGGACUCCAUCAUGAUGUCUUGCAUCAUAUUACACAAUAUGAUAGUGGAGGAUGAGUAAGAUGGGUAUAUGUAUGAAGAGUCCGAUGACGACCAAGAAGAUUCAUAUAUGUCAAGAAGGGCUCGUGCAAAAAUAUAUGAUGAACCUAAUUUGCCUUUCAAUCCAAGAAUUGAUAGUAUCUCUAUAAAUGAGUACAUGAGGCGCUAUAGAAUGAUACGUUCUCAUGCCACAAACAAGUACCUACAACAGGAUCUUGUUGCACAUCUUUGGGCCAAAAGAAGCAUGAAGUAGGCGUUGAAGUUUUAUGUUGUUAAAUGUUUUAAAAAUGUUGUUUAAGUUUCAUGUUGUUAAAUGUUUUUUUUAUGUUGUAUAAUUUGUUUGUUGGUUAAUGUUAUUUAAUGUUGUUUCAUAUUGUUUAGUGUUGUUCUAUGUUACUUAAUUUAAUUUAAUGUUGUAUAAUGGCUUAGGAAGUUAUAGGAAAAAAAUAUAAUUUAAAAAAAAUAUGAAACAAAUUUUGUGAAAUAGAAGUUAUAGGAAAAAAAUAUGAAACAAAUUUUGUGAAAUAGAAGUUAUAGGAAAAAAAAAUAGAAUUUAAAAUAAAAUGAAACAAAUUUGUCAAAUAGAAGUAUAGGAAAAAAUGGAAUUUAAAAAAAAUAUAUGAACCAAAUUUUGUAAAAUAGAAGUUAUAGGAAAAAAAAUAGAAUUUAAAAAAAAAUGAACCAAAUUUUGUAAAAUAGAAGUUAUAGGAAAAAAAUAGAAUUUAAAAAAAAAUAUGAACCAAAUUUUGUAAAAUAUAAGUUAUAGGAAGUUAUAGAAAAAAUUAGAAUUUAAAAAUAGAAAAAAAAGGGUUUAAAUUCAUAAAAAAAAAAAUUGAAUACAAUGGCUAGCUGACUCAGCUAGCCGUUGUAUUUAAAAUUUUCAUACUAUUCAUGUCGGUUAUAACCAAUAUGAUUGCAAUUAAUCAAAAUUAUUCCUAUCUAGCCGUUACUAUUCGUUCAGUUAUAACCGACACUACUGCGAUAAAAAAAAUUAUUUCUAUCGGUUAUAUCCAACAGUUUUGAGCAAAAUUCUGGCCAGCCCGGGGCUGGCUGGCUGGCUAGCUGGAAAGGGCUAGCCCUAUGGCCCUUUGGCCCUUUCAAAUUCCGUGGGGCCCAUGAGCCAUCUGGCCUAACCUUCGGUUGGAGACGGUUUUUGGGUUAUUUUCGGCCCUCUGGCCAUUUGGACCCUUUGGUUGGUGAUGGCCUUAAUUCCUGACACUAGCUAACUAAAGCUUUAACUUUUAUUUUUUAUUUUUUUCGAAAAAAGAUGGAAGAACUAUUUCCACACUGCACCAAAAAAUUUCAAGGCUAAACUGCCAAUUUGCCUUUUGAAUGAUCACUUAACUUUUGAUUUUCUUCUUGAAAUUGUUAAUUGGAAAAUUAAGGACUUAAACUAAUUUUUAUGGCCGAUUUGCCUCCUACCGUUAGUAUUUAAUAGAUUUCAUCCAAAUUAACGUUAACUUUAUCACGUGCACAUCACAUGACUCUCCUUUGUGAACAAAGCGUCACUUCGCUAGACCUUCAAACACAAAAGCUAUAAAAUCACACAUAUUUGCUUAGGUUUAUGUUUUAGAAAUCCAAGGUUUUCAAUUAUUUUAAAGAAUGAAGCGACCGAAGUAUCCUCACAUGUUAUGCACAUGCUUCCAUUUAACAGAAAUUUGGAUGGAAUGAAUGAAAAAUUAACAACAGGGGCAAAUCGGCCAAAAAAAAUUAGUUUUAGUCCUUAAUUUUCCAAUUAAAAAGUUCAGGGAGGAAAUCGAAAGUUAAGUGAUAGUUCAGAGAGCAAAUCGGCAGUUUACUCAAAUUUUCAAACUAUAAAUGUCAGGCUGUUCCAUUAUGUAUUAUUAAGUUAAUAAACCAAAACCUAAAUGCAUAAAAUUCAAAGAAUUAGUAUAUAUCUUAGGGAACAAUUUAUAUGCACUCUAAGGUUCACCUACUUAAUUAUCCACCCAGUUGUAACUAAACUCUUAUUGUACUUGUACACAAGUCAUUAUCAGAUGAUUUAUUUUAUUAAACACCAUUGAUUUUUUUUAACAAAUAAUUAAUCAAAUUUUGUAGAAGGUAAUUCAACAAAAAACGAUUUUAACUAAUCGUCAGUUUUUUAAGACAUGAAUAUUAAACAUACUCUAGUUUAAAUGAUUUUUUUGCUAAGAUGAUCUUUAAAUAGUGAUUCAGGAAGUAAAUUAUUCUAGUUAUGGAAUGUGUAUGACAAUGAUAUGUUAUCAGUGGGGGAUAAGUAUUGUGUAUCAAAAGAUGUUAAUGAAGAGGGUGGAAGUGAUGGUUGAGGAGUUGGUCAUUGGUGCAAUAGGGAAGAUCAUGGUCAAGGGAGCCGAAUCUAGGGAGAAAAUGUUGAUCAAAUGGUUAAGAUUCGUUGUGUAAAUGCAAGAAAAAUAAAUGUAGAAGCUCGUGAUUUCUCUUCUUAUUGAUAAGCUCGUGAUUUCUUUUGUUAUUCAGAAGCUAUUGUCUAAAAAAAAUAAGUUUACUUUAAGUUGCAAUAGGAUAAAUUAAUUGGGUUUGGUUUGGGGAAUUGACUUCGGAUUUAACUACCAAGUUGUAUAUAUUUUUCUUUUUUUAACAACCAAGUUGUAUCUAUUUGGGAUAUUGAUCACCAUUUCCCAAAACAGUGUUGCAUCCCUUUCAUUUAGGAGAAAACAGUAUUCAAGCAAUUUAUUUUUAAUAUACAAUGAAGUCUUUAUUACAAGAAUCAAACUUAACAUACAUCACUUAUAAAUAAGAACGAAUACCACUUAUACCAUAAUAUUAAGUGAUACUAUUCAACCAAUUUACACAGCCCAUGUCUUGUUGCAUCAUUAGCCAAACGAAAAGUCUGUUAAAUAUCAAUCUCUCAUGCAUUUAUUGGGUUUGCAAAAUUGUUAUCAAUCUCUCAUGCAUUUAUUGGGUUUGCAAAAUGGUGCUCGGCCGUAUCUAUCAUUCACAUGCUUGUGCUUGUUUACCGAAAAAAAAUGCUUGUGCUUUGAAAAAAUUGAUCGAAAGAUUAGAGAGAUACGAAUAAUACUUAAUUAGGAGAAACCCAAAAACAAGCAAUACUUUUGUUCAAGGUGAUGGUGGGUGGAUGAGGGGGGUAGCAUGUCUUCGUUGAUUUGUUCACAAUACCCUUCAUAGAACAUAUCAAAAUUAAUAAUUUUUGUUUUCUAAGUCGUGAGACAAUGUACACAUUGAGUGGAGACUUUUCUUCCAAAUAACUAAUUCUUGUUUUCUAUGAGUGGAGACUUUUCUUCCAAAUAAAAAAGCCAAGUAUAUCUCUAUCACUAUUUGGACAAUGUGUACUACUUUAUCUUUUAUUAAUUUCUGUUGGGUUGUGCCGUUGUGGGUUGGUGAUUUAUCAAUAAUUCAGACCCAUUCUACAUUAGUGUCCGUCUCAAAUAUAGUUAGAAAAAUAUAGAGAAAUAGAGAAAAAUAUUGAGGAGAUUCUCUUAAAGUAGAAUUCUCAAUAUGCUCUUUGACAUCUCACAGUUUAACGCCAAUUUUUGUUCCAACAUUAUAAAUUAUUGUGUAAAAAAUAUGAGCUAACAUAAUCCAUGAAGAGUCUCACUUUCAAAAGAGCGUAUUUAGCAUUUAUCAGUUAGUUAUAUUCCUUAUAUCAUGAUAAUGUUGCCAACUACAUUGCAUGAAUAUUUAAACACCGGUUGCAUAAUUUGUUGGACAAUACUUUGGGUUAACUAGAGACAACAAAUAUGAUGUGAUAAUAUAAAUUAGUCUUUACCGUAUAUUGUAUUGAAUCUAUAUAUUAUCAUAAUUAUCAAUCAAAGACGUUUUGGUAUUAAGACUUCCACGAUAAACUGAUCAUUUAUUUGAUGUUGAUAUAAAAAAUAAAAAAUAAACAAUUCCAAAUAUGAUGUACAUAACGAAAAUUUGUCAAUUAUAACUGCACGAACCACUAUGGAUGCAAGUAUUUUUUUGGGUAAAUUACAUAAUAUCUCAUCAGGUUUGAGGUCUAUUACAACCUCAUACAACAUAUUUAAUACAUUUCACUUUCAUACCUUAAGUACUAUUUUAUUUCAAAAUAAUACAUCCGUUAGAUUUUCCAUCUAUUAGUCUGUUAAAUGCUGACGUGGCUGCCACAUUUGUGCUGAUGUGGCUGCCACAUGGCAAUUUUUUUAUACAUUAAAAAUAUUAUAAUAUUAACCCUAUUAUAAUUUUUUUAUUUUUUUGGUUUUUGUGGCUGCCACAUUUGUGCUGAUAUGGGUUCGGGUUUUUCUAGUUUUUUUUUUUUAAAUAGGAUUAAUAUUAUAAUAUUUUUAAUGUAUAAAAAAUUAUUUUUUGCCACGUGGUAGCCACAUCAGUACAAAUGUAGCAGCCACGUUAGCAUUUAACAGACCAAUGAAUGGAAAAUCUAACGGAUGUAUUAUUUUGAAAUAAAAUAGUACGUGAGGUAUGAAAUUGAAAUGUUUUAAAGAUGUUGUAUGAAAUUGUAAUAGACCUCAAACCUGAUGGGUUAUUAUUUAAUUUACCCUUUUUUUUUUCUUCUUUUACCCACUUCUUUCUAACUAGUUUCCAAUAUGUGUAUUUUAAUUUUUAUAAGUUGUGUCACUUAGUCUUUAUCAUGUCAUUAUCCAUGUGCAAUCGCACAAUAUUCAACUCUUUCACACCCAUGUAGAUUAAAUAAAUAUCCAUUGCCAGUUUGCAGUCAACUAUGAAUAGCCUGUCCAGCUAGCAUAUAUAUGCUCCUCCUUGGACGCAACUUCUUGAUCAUUUUUCGAACAAUUUCAUUGAUGCUUGGAACAUGCAGAAAGUAGAGGUUCCUAGAUUUGUUGUUAUUUUUAUUUUUUCAAGGGAUCUUGAGUCGAUUCUUCUUGAUCUUGGAGUGAUUACUAAUUUAUACUAUGUUAUAUUCUAAUUUUGGUCCGUAGUGCGACAAGUAUAUACUAUUUUUUGGAGAGAUCAAAGUGAGUCGAUUUUCCGAACAUACUUCUACAACCGAAGAUCAUGUGCAUUUCACCAAAAAACAGAAAAAAGAAGUUCACGUGCUCAUUAGUCCGAGAAAAUGGAAUCUCUCUAAAUGGCUAGUAAUCCAUGUCUUCCUUUCUUUUUCCCCCUUUUUUAUUUUUUUACAGUUAAUUUUAAGGCCCAAGUCUUUGCAAGGAUAUAUAUGUUGGAUGCUGUCUCUAGUUCUUAAUACUCUUUGACUAAAAUUUUAAUGGUAUUUAAAGUUUGAUCAAAGUCCAUUGACUAUGUACACCUUAUUAUAUUACUAUUAAUAUUUAUAUUUUUAUAGUUUUGACAUUAAUUGUUUGACAUUUUAUGAGAUUUAUAAUCCUAUAAAUUUAAAAUCUCUCAUUAUAAUACUAUUAGAAACGAUUACAAUAAAAAAAUUCAAACAUUUUGAUUGAAUGAAUGGAUAAAAACUAUGUAAUAAUAUGAAAUAAUAAAUAGCAAAAGAAUGUAUCCAUAUUGUUAAAAAAUUGGUACAUUUCACAUAUAACAAAGUGAUACAUUCCAUUAUAAAUAAAUUAGGGUACAAAUAAAUGAUUAAAAAAUUAUAAGUACAAAUGAAAUUUUAAAAAAUAUGGGCACAAAAAGAAAUUAAUACAUGGGUACAAAUUAAAACUAAAAAGAAAGUAGUACAGAUUUAAAAAAGGGUUGCAAAUUAAAAGUGGGUAUAAACUAAAACUAUAAAUAUAUGAUACAAAGUUUAGCCAUAAAAUAUAAAUAUACCAGAUGUAAUUUUUCUAACACUAAAUGAAUAUUGUAGAAAUUUAAUGUAAUUAUGUUGUAUAUUGAAAUAAUGCCAUUCAUUAAAGCCUAAGGACCUUGAUAAAAAAAUUACAAAGAAAUAAGGUUUUAAUCAAUGGAAUAGAAAAAAGAGGGAUGAAAACCUAAUUUCUCCAUAUGUAGGGCAUAUUGACUUUUUUUUACGGUUGGUGGUUGUACUUACUGCGGUAGUGAGAAGCAUGGGCCGCAAUAAUUGUUUUCAAUUGCACGACUAUCCUAAUUGGUGGGAACCAUUAAAGCUUUAGAAACAACGGGAACGAGACGAGCAAGCUUAGCUUGGGCAAGCCAAUCUUGCCACCUUCGUAUCCCAACUAUCUUUGAUAUCUCAGGAUGAUCCUCCUCCUAUUUCGAGUUCUUCCGACAUGUCUCUGGAGUCCUCAGGUAACCGUGGUUAUGCUUUUAAUAUGAAUAGUGAUGAUACACAAUCCGGAUGAAUCAUUGACUCCGGUGCCACAUACCAUAUGACUUAUAAUCCCAUUGAUUUAGCGUGUGAUACCGUUCCACUUCUAUGUAAUAUUACUAAUGAUAAUGGUGUCACCUGACCGGUAACUGGCACUGGCACUAUGCGCCUCACGUCCACUCUCUCUUUGCCUCAUACAUUACUUGUACCUUCACUAAAACAUAGAUUGAUGUCUCCUAGCCAAGCUACUGAACAAUUGAAUUGUUGUGUGCUAAUGUAUCCAAAGUUUUAUCUUAUUCAGGAUAUUCUCACAAAAGAGAUAAUUGGUCGGUACUAAGAGGGGGGAUCUUUAUUUUGUGGAUGAUGUCAAUACAGGACGGGUCAAUCUUGCCCAAUGAGCCUUUGAUCACAAGCGAUGUCAGAUAUGGUUAUGGCAUCACCAUUUGGGUCGUCCAUCUUUUAGUUAUUUGCAGCAUAUGUUUCCGGAUUUAUUUGUUGGAUGUUUGAUUUUAGACUUAAAAUGUGACACUUGCAUACUUGCCAAGAGUUAUCUUGUUUCUUAUCCGUUGAAUUCUAAUAAAAGUAUUAUUCCUUUUGGUUUUGUUCAUUUGGAUGUUUGGGGACCAUCUUCAAUUACUACUUCAUCUGGUAUUAGGUGUUUUGUAACUUUCAUAGAUGAUUGCACACAGAUGGCAUGGUUAUACCGUCUUAAGAAUAAAGGUGAUGUUUUUUUUCGGCUUUUAAGACCUUCCACACCAUGGUUUAGACACAGUUUUCUACUAAAAUCUGAAUUUUGCGUUCUGAUAAUGGCGGUGAAUAUGUUAAUAACGAUUUUUCACAUUAUUUAACUAAUCACGGAAUUCUUCACGAAACUAACUGUCCUCAGACUCCUCAACAGAAUGGGGUAGCUGAGCGUAAAAUCACCAUUUCUUAGAAACGGCUCGCUCACUCUUGAUUAGGGCACAUGUUCCCCGCUCAUCUUGGGAUGUUGCUCUUCAAACUGCCACUUAUCUUAUUAAUCGUCUGCCAUCCAAAGUCUUGGAUUUUCUUACACCCUUACACAUCCUUGCUACAUUCGUGCAUCUACUGUCUGUGUUGGUACUCCACCUCGAGUUUAUGGAUGUGUUGUAUUUGUUCAUCUUCAUAAAAAUCAACGGAUGAAACUUGACCCAUGUGCUCUUCGUUGUAUUUUUAUGGGGUACAGACUCCAUCAUAGAGGGUACCGUUGCUACCACCCUUCUUCACGUUGAAUGUAUGUUACUAUAGAUGUUACUUUUUCAAAGUCUGAGAUGUAUUACCCUCCAGCUUCUUCCAAUCAUCAUCCUCAAGGGGAGACACUACAUGACGAGAAGGAUUGGACCAUGGAUGCUACCAUUGAUCUUCCGCUACCACUAGCUGAGCCUACAACGGCUACGUUGCCAGCCCAACCAACAACAUCAACAGUGCUACCCAUAGAACCAAUGGUAAGCACGGUAGUGUUGUCCUCACCCACGACAGCAGUGCUGCCACUUGCCAAUUUCAGACUUCUACUGAUACUACUCCCUCCUUAUCUCUAAAUAUAGUACCACCAGAUGGACAUACUCCUAAGAAUAUUCCUGAGGUAAGCUCUACUAUCCCUAUUGAUGUAUCCAAUAUUCCGAAUUAUCAAUUACCUUUCAGGCAUAACUGGGGAAAACCACCCAAUCGAUAUUCAUCGGAAACAACGAAAGACUCUAAAUACCCCAUUGCCAACUAUGUGUCGUCACAAAAAUUAUUGGAACCUGGCAAAACUUUUGUACAACAAAUAUCCAAUGAUAGCACACCAAGUUCAUUGAAGGAGGCACUAUCUGAUGAUCGAUAAACCACAACAAUGGAGGCAGAAAUGGAUGCACUUUAGAAAAAUCAAACAUCGGAUUUAGUUCCACUACCUCGAGGAACAAAAAGAGUCGGAUGUCGAUGGGUGUACACCAUCAAGUACAAAGUUGAUGAGUCUAUUGAACGAUACAAAGAACGAUUGGUGGCCAAGGGAUACACUCAGACGUAUGGUGUUUAUUAUACAGAUGCAUUUACCUUAGUAGUGAAGAUUAAUAUGGUAAGAGUGUUGCUUUCGUUGGCGGCCAACUUAGAUUGGCCAUUACAAUAAUUUGAUGUGAAAAAUGCUUUCUUACAUGGUAAUCUUAAGGAAGAAGUGUAUAUGGAUAUUCCACUUGGUUAUGCAUCAGUUUCACAACCUUAAGUAGUGUGCAAGUUGAAUAAAGAAUUAUAUGGAUUGAAAUAAUCACCUUGGGCAUGGUUUGGUAGGUUCCGGACGACUAUGAGGAAAUAUGGGUUCAGGCAGAGCAAUGACGAUCAUACACUUUUCUUGAAACAUCGAAUAGGGAAAUUGAUGACACUUAUUAUUUAUGUGGAUGAUAUGAUUGUUACGGGUGAUGAUAAAGAAGAAAUCUCAAGGCUAAAAGAUUACCUAACAACCGAGUUCGAGAUGAAAAUCUUGGUGGAUUGAAAUAUUUCUUGGGGAUAGAAGUAGCUCGAUCUAAAUAGGGUAUAUUUCUAUCUCAAAGAAAAUAUGUUCUAGACUUAUUAGCUGAAACAGGAAUGGUUGAUUGUAAACCGGCUGACACCCCCAUAGUCCAAGAUCACCAUCUUGCCAUGCAUCCAGAUCAAGUUCCCACUAACAGAGAUCGUUAUCAAAGGUUAGUUGGGAGGUUAAUUUAUUUAUCUCACACCAGGCCCAAUAUUGCAUAUGUAGUAAGUGUUGUUAGUCAGUUUAUGCAUUCUCCGACUGAUACACAUAUGGGUGCGGUUGAACGCAUCGUAUGAUACCUAAAGUCCUCCCUAGGUAGAGGCAUCAUGUUUUCCAAGAAUGAUCAUUGCCGAAUAAAAGGCUAUAUCGAUGCAAAUUGGGUAGGAAACAUUACUGAUUGACGGUUCAUAUCUGGAUACUUUACAUGUGUGGGGGGAAAUUUAGUGACUUGGCAGAGUAAGAAACAAAAAGUGGUUGCUUUAUCAAGUGCAAAGGCAGAAUACAAGGGUAUGGCAAAAGGAGUAUGUGAACUAUUAUGGCUUCGGAGGUUACUUGCUGAGCUCGGGUGUCCUUAAAAGUCGGCCUCAUAUUUGUUUUGUGAUAAUAAAGCAACUAUUGAUAUCUCACACAAUACAAUCCAGCAUGAUCUCACGAAACAUGUGGAAGUUAACAGACACUUCAUUAAGGAGAAGUUGGAUGGGAAUAUUAUUCAAUUCUCGUUCGUAAAGUCAGAGGAUCAAUUGGCAGACAUCUUAACUAAAGCUAUUGCAAGUCAAGCAUUCUACAACUCUCUUGUCAAGUUGGGCAUGAACGACAUUUAUGCACCAACUUGAGGGGGAGUGUUGGAGAGUUGACCUUUUGUAAUUAGUUAGUUACCUAUUUGGGUCCUUGUAAUCAGGAUGUAAUUAGGAAGGGUGUUAUUUGAUGUUUCUUUCCUUGUAAAUCAAUCUUGUGCAUUAUAUAUUUUCCUCCUUAAUGAGAAGAAUAAUAUCAGAAAAUUAAACCCCAAGAUAAGCCCUAAUUAGCAUAUAGGACGUGUAUUUUUAGGUCAACAGAAAAUCUCCACACAUUUUAGUAUGUCAAAGACAGUUUCAUGACUUGAAUAUGUACCUGAGAUAUCUUGAGGAAUUUGUGUGCUUUCUUAAGGGUAAGUCCCAUUUCAGUUAAGAUUCCCAGCAAGCAAAGCUUGAAUCACAAGAACAAAAUCCCAUGACUGACUUCCAAAAGUCUGCAUCUUGAUUCCAUCCUCUCCAAGGCAGAUAUAAUCGUAAGUCUAGGAAGAUGCUUCUUGAAAGCUUCUCCACUAGGAUCCUAGGCCCAGCAAGCAAGCAUCCUCAAUGGAUUUUCUGCGCAUCCGAUUGUAAUAUAGCAACUGGUCUCAUCUUCAUAAUGAAAUUGGUCAUUUGUGAAUUGAAUUGCGUUGUCCCUGAUCUUGUUGAAGGUCCAGCGUUUUAGGAGAGGCUCGGCGAUAUUAUAAAAACUGUCCCACAUAAAACGUUGUACAGGACCAUGAGGAUAGUAGUUAUCUUCCUGCGUUAGUCAACAUUGCAUAGCACAGCACCUUUAUGUAUGUGAACAAGUUUCUUUAAGAACAUAAUAAAAUUGAACAAUAGCAUGAACUAUGUAAGGAACAAAAAGGUAAACUCACGGUUGCACACCAAUGGCGCACUUUAGGCCUGUUAAUUUCACAGUAAAUUUCUUGUCUCAAUUCCUCAACAAGAGGAGUGAUCGGGCCAACAAAUCUGGUGGCGUAAAAGUAAGACAUAGGUGGGUAAGUCAACCUACUGUAGCUGAACAUUUUUGCUGCAGAUGUGAGGUAGUACCAGUUAGAAGACUUGUAACUAUUUAACUUGAGCAACAAGAAACUCGGGUGUGGAAGAAAACUGUGCUUACGUGGAUGAGAAGGAAGCAGAGUAGACCGAGUCCAGAAUUCUGGAGGCAUUGGAUUGCUACCUUCCCAGUCAUACACACCAAGAAUCUGCAACACAAGUUAAACCAUUUGAACAAUAAAAUGUCUUUUAAGACACAUUCCUUAAAAUCCUUUUGCAGUAUGACAUACUACUAUUUAAAUCAACUCGUACGUUAUAGCACCACCAUCCAAGUUUUUCCCCAUGAUGCAGAAUAGUAGGCACCACCAUAGGGCCAUCCUCCGAGAAUAGGCGUCGUACGGUAGUUAAGGAAUGUAGUAAACAUCAUACUAAGCCCUGUUAUGUGCAAUCCCAAGCCACCAUCUUCAUUUUGAUGGUCGUAUGUGUAACGCAAGAUUUCCUUUUUGUGCUCAGCUGUGAAAAUGACAUUGAGAUAUCCUGGAAUCUAUACAGAGUAAUUUUUUGGCAAUAGAGAAAAAAAAAUAUAAUAAUUCUUGUCACAUAUGUGCAAUUAAACAGAUCUUUUAAAUAAUGCACGAUUAAAGGUUCAGCCCCUAUACUGCAUGAGGUGUCCCCCUCUCCCUUUUCUUUCUCGCCGUCAACAAUAGUAAAUGCAAAAAAUAUCUUAUAUAUGGUGGCGGAUUUAGAAUAUUGUUCUUGUGACGGUUAAAAAAAAAAAACCCAUAUAAUUACAUAAAUAUUAAUGCAUGGUCAUUUAUAAUUGGACUUAAUCUCACGGUUAAAAACAAAAAAAAAAACCAUAUAAUUACAUAAAUAUUAAUGCAUGAUCAUUUAUAAUUGGACUUAAUAUCAACUGUGACGAUUAAAAAAAAAAAAAAAAAAAAAAAAAAAAAACCCAUGUAAUACAUUAUAUUAAUGCAUGGUUAUUUAUAAUUGGACUUCAUAUCAACUGUGAACAAUAAAUACAUGUACUUCUGAUAUUUGAUCCCAGCCUUUGAUAUCAAAUUCAAAAGUGGGUGACAAUGUAUCCUUAUCAUGGGUGAUCAAGAGAGCACAACUCUAUGUAAUUAGUAAAAAGUUUCAAACUUUGAAUAUGAAUAACAUUUCUAGUGAGUAGAUUUGGGGUGUUCUAUCCCCCUAGACCAUCUCCAACUCAUGGGAUAAAACUUAAAAUAUAAGCUUUAAAACCCCCAAACAAUCUCCAACCUUGGGCUAAAAUAAGUAAUAGGGAUAAAAUAUAUCUCUGGGCUAGAUUCCUCCAGGAUUUAAGUCUGGCUUAAAUUAUUCUGGACCCACCAAACUAUCAUAUUUCGAACAUUUUUUUUUGUUUUUUACUUAUAAUCUAAUGACUAUGAUCAAAUGAGAUCAAAUUUAAUAGUAAAAAAAAAGAAGAUUUGCAGCCCAAAAUUAAAUCUAACAUUUAAAAUAAUUUAAGAAAAUAAUUUAAAUCAAAUUUAACUUAAAAUUUUAUAAAUACCUAUGUACUUGUAUGCUUUUUAAUUACUUAUUGGAAUUUAAAUAUUUUUAGACUAAAAUGUUCAUAAAAAUAAAUUAAGAUAAUCUACAUAAAUUUUAUUUUUAAAAAAGUUACUGAAAACAAAAGCUAGGCUAAAAUCAUUAUUUAAUCAUCGCGCCCUAAAUUUUUAAGCCACAAGAGUUGGAGGAAAAAAACAGUUCCUGACUUAUGGCUUAAAAUUUUUUGGCUUAUAUUUUUAAGGUUUAUCCCCAAAAGUUGGAGAUGGUCUUAUGUUACCAAAAAAAAAAAACUUAACUGGGUCUUUUUUUUUUUUAAUAUUGUAUAGUUGUUAUUCGUGGCUUUUGUUUUUUGUUUUUUUUUUUGUUUUUUUGUUUUUGUUUUUUUAUAUAUAAUGAUAUAUUUAUAUUAAGAAAGUGAAAAAUAAAUUAAGCGAACUCAUCAGUUAUGGAGUUCAAUCUCAUUUUGUCAUUUAUAGAAUAUUAAAAUUAUGUGAGAAGACCGACGAAUACUCGGUUAGACAUGCUAUUUCCUACAAAGGCUAACAAUAGUCGGCCAAAUACUUGGUCAGAAAAAGUUUGGCCGGCUGUGUCAACUUACCCGUGUGCCCUCUGAGCCAUGACUAUUUUUCUUCAUAAUUGUUGCCAUUGUUUUACAUGUUGGCCCGAAUCCUACUUAACUCUUUCUUUUGGUUGAUAACGGUGCAUACAAUGCGAAAGAAAACAAAAACUAUAUAAGAAUGUUACGAGGCCGAGCGAUUAGUAGUGGACAAUAAAGAAAAUUUUUCUCAAAAAGUAACCAUCAACAAAAUUCGUUUUGCGACAAAUAUAUAUGCCAAAAUUUUCAAAACUAACUCCAGUGAAAAAGAACACGACAAAUAAUACUCUCAUAAUAAUUUUACGACAAAUAUAUAUGCCAAAUUUGACAAAACUAACUCCAAUGAAUAAGAUCACGACAAAUAAUACUCCCAUAACAAAUUAAAACAUAAUUACAUGUAAUAGCUCAUAAUAAAUUGUAACAUACUGUAUGUUACAUACAUUACAAAACUUUGAUAAAAAAAAUUUGAUGAGGUUAAUGUAAAUGAUGCAUAUAUAUAACCAACAUCUAAUGAGAAAAACAUAUUACUUGGCACAACACGUAUAUAUCCCUUAUUAUAUCAGAUGGUAUGCUAAUACCGUACAAAAAUUUAAACUCCCUAACAUUUUUCAUAUUAUAUACAAUAAUGUCUCGAUAAUAUAUGGUUGUGAUUGGUGGUGACCCCAGUUUUGAAAUAAAAUGGUUAUGGUGAGCAAGGACAAUGUAGAUCAAUAAGCAGUAAUGUACUGAAUAGUGGCUAUGCUAGACUUUGUUAGUGAUAAUGAUCCAGCUGUGGAUAAUAAUUAGAUCUGAUUAAUUUAAUGCAAAUUAUGCAACAAGAAGCAAUUUUCCAUUCAAUUCAACAAAACAGUCAAACUACUAGUAUUUUAUUUAUACGACAAUAUUCUUUUGAGUAAAUUAUAGCAAUAAUCUUUCAACUUUAAUCAAAUUGGAGCAAUGGUCCCUCAACUAAAAUUUAUUACCAUUGGUCCCUCAAUUCAUUAAAAUGUGUAGUUAUGAUUGUUUUCAUCAACUUCGUCAUAAUUUUGUCAAAAUGAGUUAUGUUGGAAGGACCAUUGCUACAAUUGGGUUAAAGUUGAGGGACAAUUUCUCCAAUUGGGUUAAAGUUGAGGGGCAAUUUCUCCAGUUGGAUUAAAGUUGAGGGAUCAUUGGUAAUGAAUUUUUAGUUGAGAGACCAAUGAUAAUGAAUUUUUAGUUGAGGGACCAUUGCUCCAAUUGAGUUAAAAUUGAAAGACCAUUGCUACAAUUUACUCUAUUCUUUUAGGGGAGGCAAAUUCUCGUGACGAUGUGAAAAAAAAUAUCUCAUUCAAGAAAUUUGUCAAAAGAUUUCUAAGGAGUUGGUUUAAUGGACCUUAACUUCCUUCGAUUUUAACAUUUUUUACAAGAAGCGACAACAAAAUUCCAUUAACGGAUUGUAACAGUUACCUAGAUUAUCACAUGAGUGCAUUUUCUAGUUAAAUUUAAUGAUCUAGAGAUAAUUCGCACAAACAAGUAUAGAUAGUAAUCGCCAAAUAACAUAAGCACAUACACUACUGGUACUAGCACAAGCACCAACGGUAUAAAUUUACCCCAAAAAAUGGCGGAUCAACUUAAGUAUAAUUAAUUGAGUACACUUUUUCUGUCGAAGUCUAAAAUAGUAUUUAACUAUAUAUUUGAAUAUUACUGAUAUAUAUAUAUAUAUAUAUAUUUUUUUUUUUUUUGUUUGUAUAAAUACACAAUUAUUGUCCAUUGAUGUGCUCACAUGGCCAGCAAAAAGGAAGAAGGAAAUCUCAAAGAUUGAUGUUUACACAACUUCACAUGGAUUGAGUGAAGUACUGAAAUUACAUAUAAAUUUUGUUUUUAUUUUGCAAAAAAAAGUAGAGUCUCAUUGGCAGAGAGAGAGAGAGAGAGAACAAAGAAGGGAAAACCAAGCUGUCUCAUCCGAAAGAGUCUUCUCCAGAUCUAUUAUACGAGAAUUUUAAGAAUUCUUAUAUCGUAGUCGUUUAUUGUAUAUUGUGUAGUUAAUUUUCAUUAGGUACUAUUUUUGUUUAAUUUCAAAUAAAAAAAUUAAAUGAUUUCUAACCGCAUAAUAUACAAUAAAUUACUAAAAUGUGAAGAUUCCUAAAAUUCUUACAAUUUGAACCGGAUGGGAUUCAAAUCCGUCCCCUCCCUUCUCAGUUUUCUUCCCAAAGUACCAAGUGGCAACUUCUAAAUUCCCAAUUCCAAGUCUUUCCGCUCAGAACCCAAUUCCAAGUUAAAGAAACAGAGUCUUUCUUUCAAACUGAAAGUUCAAUGAUCAAUUUCUCCAAUUAACACAAAACCCAUAAAAAAAGAUUCAAACUUUCUUCGGCAUUGAUUGGCAAAUUUGCAAGAACUCAUUAGUUCUGAAGAAUUAAAGGAGAAGUAAAAAAAUGUGGAAGCUGAAGGUAGGGGCAGAGACAGUAGGAGGAGAAGGUGGCGGUCAGUGGCUGAAGAGUGUGAACAACCACUUGGGCCGCCAAGUGUGGGAGUUCCACCCAGAGAUUGGAACCCCAGAAGAGCUUCAGCAAAUUGAAGAUGCCCGCAAGGCN